UCGUCUCCAGCCGUAAUCCCCCCUCGAGUCGAGUCCUCCAUGCGAAAUCACACCAGCCAUUAGCCGUCUCACCGCGAAUCCCCCUAUGGUUAUUCGGUCUAUUUCCUUCUCGCUGCAUUUCUCAGCUUCUUCUCUUUUUGCUUCAAUGCGUUCUUCGCUUUCCCCUUUGGUGUUGAGGGGAUCUUAUUUUUUGUGGAAGAGGAUUAGGGUUUCGCCAAGAGCUGGCAGAUGACGACAAGCAAGACAGGGACUCUGCAGCGCCCUCGAUUUCAGAUCGGGGGUCGCGAAUGAUGCAUUCCGUCUAGGGGAAUCUCCGAUGCUAUUCCCAAUUUCCUCCCGCACCAUCUUUGCUUUGUUUCUGCAUAAAUAGGCUGUAGUGUUUCGCCUCGUGAACAGAAGAAACUAGCAUAUGACGAUAAGCAAGACAGGGACUCUGCAGCGGCCCCGGCCGCGAAUGAUGCAUUCGUCUAGGGGAAUCUCUGAUGCUAAUCUAAGUCACGCCAUCUUCUCUCUUGGUCUCGGCCUGAACGCACCUGAACCCCACUGGCGUUUGCUAGCUUUUUUUCCACUUUGUAUUUUAAUCUGAUUUAUGAAUCUGUGCCGCAACAAAUUUGGUACAAGCAUAACUAGCAUAAGACGAUAAGCAAGACAGGGAUCUCUGCAGCGCUCCUGAUUUCAAAUCGGCGGCGCGGAUGAUGCAUCCGUCUAGGGGAAUCUCUGAUGCUAUUUUCACUUCACUUGCUUUUUUCUCCCUGUUUUUUUGUCUUCUGUUGUUUUGAUUUAGCUGCCUGUACCAGUGUUCAAUACAGUAUGAGCAUUUCGCAGUGAUUUCCUUUUAACUUGGCACCUUGUUGUUGCACUGAACUGUCAGCCUGAUGAUUAUCCUCGAGAACGGAGAUCUGAAUCCAUUUCUCCGUUGAAGCCCGCUUGGCCGCCGUGCUUGACCUGUCAUGGCAUUUGUUUCUUGGCUGGGUUUCUCUCAGGAGUAAAUUGCAAAACCCCCAACAUUCAACAUGCAUGCAUGCAUGCAUCUCGCGCACACACACACACACACAUACAUGUAUGCACGAAGCAGGCCGAAUGGGCUCCGGGAAUGGAUGUGUAGAAGCAAAAGUUAUGAAGGCUUUGGCAGAUCGGGUGAAUGCCCCCCACUAGAUUCAUGGUUUACUUGUUUAUAAGUAGUGUUUGGUAUCAGUUCACCUUUAAUGGUUCAAUGCCUGGUGGUUUGCUGUAGAAAUUAUCAUGCGAGUAUUAUUUGGAUCUGAACAUAACUUAUGUGUGAAUUGUAGUGCUUAUGUUUGGACAUCGCGAAGAUUAAAAGAAACGAGAACGAAGGCCAGAGUACGUAAAGAGUAUUCAUUUAUCAAAUACGGAACCUCGUGUGCUUGGCUAGCCUGAUGAUUACAUUACCUUUGGAUAAAGAAUAAAGUUCUGAGAUCUCAGCUCCGUUGAAGCUCACCUAGCUUAGGCUGCUGUGGUGGAUCCUACUCCCUCCUUCCAUAAAUAAUGUAGCAAUUUGCUCUUGGGAGUAAAUUGUUGGAACAUACAUGCACAACACACAUGUGUGUAUAUAUAUAUAUAUAUAAUCUUCCACCAACCUGGCUGGCUGGGCUCCGGUGAGAGUGUUUGAAGCCACAAAAAGUAUGAAGGCUUUGCCAAUGCAUAGUUCUUGGUUCUGUAAUAUUAUUCUAGUUGAGUUGUCUGGCCUCUGUAUUAGCUAAUCUCAAAUGCACAACUUAUUUUAAAUCGUUGCUUUUUCCUUGUUUCAUGUUGAUGUUUGCAGUCAGAUAUAUUGGCUUUGACAUUGGAGCAUUUUGAUCUAGCUGCCUGUUAAUGUAAAUGCACUUCCCUGUUGAAGCCUGCUUGGCCACUCUGGUGCAUUGGCAGUUCCAAGGUUUUAUAGGAAUUGAGAUGCAUGUCAUCUCACUUCAUAUGAUUUUUCUAUCCCCAUGAUAUUCCUAACCAAAGGAGGCCUUAAUUUCCUUUGACCGAGCUGACUGAUCAAAAGAAUGCUCUCCUAUGUGUUUGUAUAGAGUUUUGCAACUCUGAUUGCUUAACUGCCAUUUGGCUGUACUUUUGGAGGGUCAGUAGGGUGUUUCUGCAGUGCCCUUAUUGUUGCUCUCAUUGGUUUGUGCACCUUGAGAUUAUAUUGUGUAUGUCUCAGCUGUGGUUGCUGGUUUCUUGUGUUAAUUUCUUCUGUAGUACUUCUGCCUGCAUUUUUUUAUUGAAUACAGUUUAAGCAUUUUGGAAUGGAAAAUGCUCAGUCUUGAGGCAUUUUGUUGUUGAGGUAUGUGGUUGGCUGAACUGCCAGCCUGAUGAAUAACCUAAGAAUGAAGAUCUGAAUACAAUUCUCCGUCAAAACCUGCUUGGACGCUGUGCUUUCUUUCUUUCUUCCAUUCUUGGCGGGGUUUCUUGGGUAAUCUCUGAUGCUAUUCUCACUUUCCUCCCAUGGAGUGUUUUGCCUUGUCAAAUUUUGUUUUAGCAUAUGACGAUAAGCAAGACAGGGACUCUGCAGCGGCUCUGGCUCAGAUCGGGGCCGUGAAUGAUGCAUUCGUCUAGGGGAAUCUCUGAUGCUAAUCUAAAUUCACAGUAUCUUUUCUCACUCUUCCACUGGUGUUUGCUAUUCGUAGCUGUUUAUCCCAUGGAUUUUAAUCUGAUGUUGUUUGCUAAAUUUGCGUUGCAACAAAUCCGGUACAAACAUAAUUGGCAAAUGACGACAAGCAAGACAGGGACUCUGCAGCGCUCCCGAUUUCAAGUCGGGGCUGUGAAUGAUGCAUCCGUCUAGGGGAAUCUCUGAUGCUAAUUUCCUUUUAUCUUUUUUCUCCUUGCAUUUUAUUAUCUUGAUUUAGGUGCUAUUAACUGUGGUAAAUACAGUGUGAGCAUUUUCACAAUGAUUUCUUUUAGCUGGAGGCACUUCCUUGUUCAGAUAAGUGGGGUUCCCUGAACUGCCAGCCUGAUGAUUAUCCUCAAGAAUGGAGAUCUGAACCCACUUCUCCGUGGAAGCCUGCUUGGCCGCUGUGCUUGUUGAAUAUCCUGGUUUCUUGGCUGCCCACCCUCAAUGGUUUAAUGCCCUGGUGUUUUGCUGUAGAAAUCAUCAUGGCAAUAUUUGUUGAGUUCUGAACAUAACUUACCUUCAAUGGUUUAAUGCCCUGGUGUUUUGCUGUAGAAAUCAUCAUGGCAAUAUUUGUUGGGUUCUGAACAAAACUUGUGUGAAUCGUUGUACUUAUGUUUGGACAUAGCAAGAUUAGCAGAUACAGGAAUCAAGGCCAGAAUAUGUAAUAGUAUCUGUUUAUCAAAUACGGAACCUUGUGUGCUUGGCCAGCCUGAUGAUUACACCUCUUCAUAAAGAAUGAAGUUCUGAGGUCUGAAUGCUCUUCUCAGCUCCGUUGAAGCUCGCCUAGCUUAGGUUGCUGUGGUGGAUCCUACUCCCUCCUUUCCUAAAUGAUGUACUCCCUCCGUCCACAAAUAUAAGAUGUGUACUCCCUCCUUGCUGAAUUGGAACAUGCAUGCACACACGCAUAUAUAUUAUCUUCCACCAACCUGGCUAGCUGGGCUCCGGUGAGAGUGUUUGGAGACACAAAAAGUAUGAAGGCUUUGCUAAUGCAUAGAAUUCUUGGUUUUGUAUUAAUGUUAUAGUUGAGAAACUUGUUUGGACUUUGUAUUAGCUAUCUCAAAUGCACAACUUCUUUGAAAUAGUUGCUUUUUUCUCAUUUCAUGUUGAUGUUUGCAUAUAUCUAUUUGCUUUGUCAUUGGAGCAUUCUGAUCUAGCUGUCUAAUGAUUACCAUAGUGUGCAUUGUACUAAGAAUGGAGAUCUAAAUGCACUUCUCUGUUGAAGCCUGCUUGGCCACUCUGCUACAUUGGCAAUUCCAGGUUUUUUUGGGGUAUCUGCUAGAGAUGCUCUUAACCUGCUGUUGCUGCUACCUCCAUCACUGGUGUUCCUUCGAAUGUUUUCCUUUGACUGAGCUGGCUAAGUGGACUCCAGGGAAUAAAUAUGUUGAAACAAGAAGUAUGAAUGAAGAUGCUUGUAAUUUCCUUUGACUGAGCUGGCCACUCUGCUACAUUGGCAAUUUCAGGUUUUUUUGGGGUAUCUGCUAGAGAUGCUCUUAACCUGCUGUUGCUGCUACCUCCAUCACUGGUGUUCCUUUGAAUGUUUUCCUUUGACUGAGCUGGCUAAGUGGACUCCAGGGAAUAAAUAUGUUGAAACAAGAAGUAUGAAUGAAGAUGCUUGUAAUUUCCUUUGACUGAGCUGGCUAAGCGGACUCCAGGGAAUAAAUAUGUUGAGACAAGAAGUAUAAAUGAAGGCUUGGCUGAUCAAAAGAAUGCUCCUAUAUGUUUCUAUAGCGUUUUGCAACACUGAUUGCCUAAUGGUCAUUAGGGUAUGUUUUGGAGGGCCAUUGGGUGUUUCUGCAGUGCCCUUAAAUUUCUAUUCUUGUGAUCUUUUCUGGCAACUGAAUAUUGUUGCUCUCAUUGGUGCACGUUGAGAUUUCCUUGUGUACCUCCACACAUGGUUGCUGAUUUCCUGUGUUAAUUUCUUCUGUAUUUCUUCUGCCUGGGUUUUUCAUUGAAAAAUUCUUAGCUGGAGCCAUUUGUUGUUGAUUGAGGUAGGUGGUUCAGUGAAUCCCGCAUGGCCUGCUGUGCUUGAUUGAUGCCUUCCCCCUCCUUUGUUUCUUGGCUGGGUUUCUCUUGGCAGUACAUUACAAACACCCCCCCACACACAUGUACACACAAAGCAGCCUAAAUGAGCUCUGGGAAUGGAUGUCUAGUAGCAAAAGCUAAAAGGCUUUGGCAGAUUGGAUGAAUGCCCCCCACUAGAUUCAUGGUAAGGAAAGAUUUGACCGGAUCUGAACGUAACUUCUUUAUGAAUUGUAGUACUUAUAUUUGGACUCGAGCAAGAUUAGCAGAUAUGAAAAUCAAGGCCAGAAUAUCUGAUAGUAUUUGUUUGUCAAAUACGGAACCUUGUGUGCUUGGCCAGCUUGAUCAAGGCUAGAAUGAAUAUCUGAUAGUAUUCGUUUCUCAGCUCCGUUGAAGCUAACGUAGCUUAGGCUGCUGCGGUGGUGGAUCCUACUCCUUCUGUUCCUAAAUAAUGUAGCAAUUUUUGGAUUUGAAUUGGAACAUGUAUGCACACUCUGGGCUCCUGUGAUGGUGUUUGGAGAUACAAAAAGUUUGAUGGCUUUUGGCAAAUGCACGGAAUGCUGAGUUCUGUAAUAGUAUUAUUCUAGUUGAGAGCGUUGUUUGGGCUCUGUAUUAGUUUUCUCAAAUGCGCCGCUUUGAAAUAUUUUUUUCUUGUUUUGUGUUGAUGUUUGCAGUUAAUAUAUUUGCUUUGUCCGUUGAGCAUUCUGGUCUAGCUGCCUGAUGAUUACCACUAAGAAUGGAGAUCUGAAUUCCCUUCCCUGUUGAAGCUUGCUUGGCUGCUUUGGUCGAUUGGCAAUUACAAGGGUUUUUUGGGGUCCGUUGGAGCUGCUCUUAACCUCCUCCUCCUGCUGCUGCUGCUGCUUCUUCUACCACUACUACUACUACCAUCACUUCAGUUCCUUGCAUGCUUGGAACUACUCAACCCUCCUAAACUCUUAAUUGCCUUUGACUGAGCUGGUUAAAUGGACUCCAGGGAAUAAAUAUGUUGAUGCAAGAACUAUGAAUGAAGGCUUGGCUGAUCAAAAGAGUGCUCAUAUAUGUUUUUAUAGCAUUUUGCAACUCUGUUUGCUUAAUUGGUCAUUAGGGUGUUUUUUGGAUUAGGGUGUUUCUGCUAAGCUCUAUUCUUCUAAUCUUUUCUUGCAACUGAAUGUUGUUCCUUUUUCUGUUUGGUAUUGUCUUUUUUGGUUUGUGCACCUUGAAAUUUCCUUGUACCUACAUAUUUGCUGAUUUCAUGUGUGUUUCCUCCGCCUGGGCUUAGUCCGAGGCACUUGUUGUUGGGUGUUGGGUGGGGUUUGUCAAGUGAAUUGCAAACCUGACAAUUAGCCAUAAAAAUGGAGAUCUGAAUCCAUUUCUCCGUCGCUUGGCCGUGUGCUUGGUUCAUCCCAUCCUUUGUUUCUUUCCUGGGUUUCUCUCAGUAGUAAAUUGCAAAAACCCCAACAUGCAUGCAUGCACACAUGUACGCACAAAAAGUUUUGGCAGAUCGUUGAAUGCCCCCACUAGAUUCAUGUUAUGCUUGUUUAAGGAGCAUUUUAGCUUAGUUUGUGGCUGCCUGCUUUCCUUCCAUGGUUUAUUGCUUGAUGUCUUGCUGUAGAAAUCAUCAUGGAAAUAUUUGUUGUGUUCUGAACAGUUGCUGCCCUCAUUGCAUGCUUUGGUUCCUGUAUUUUGCUGUGGUUAUCAUGGAAAGAUUUGUUUGGAUCUGAAUCUUAUGUUUGGGCUAGUAUUUGUUUAUCAGAUACUAAACCUUUUGUGCUUGGCCGGCCUGAUGAUUACCUAUGCAUAAAGAAUAGAGACCUGAAUGCUCUUUGAAGCACACCUAGCUUAUGCUGCUGUGGUGGAUCCUACCCCCUCCAUUCCUAAAUAAUGUAGCAGAUUGGAUAUGCACAAAGCAGGCUAAAUGGGCUCUGAGAAUGUGUGUGUAGAAUGGGCUAAAUGGCCAGCCUGAUGAAGGCCAGAAUAUCUAGGCUUUCUCAGCUCCUUUGUACCUUGCGGAGCUUAGGCUGCCUUGGUGGGUCCUACUCCCUCCAUUCCUAAAUAAUGUAGCAACUUGCUUUUAGGGAGUAAUUUGGAACAUGUAUGCACACUAUAUCUCUCUCUGAUCUUCCACCAACCGGUUAGGUGGGCUCUGGUGACGGUGUUUGGAGAUACAAAAGUUUGAAGGCUUUUGGCAAAUGCACAGAAUGCUCAGUUCUGUCAAGUAGAAAGUUGUUGGUUUCUGUAUUACUCCCUCCGUCCCCAAAUUCUUGUCUUACAUUUGUCUAAAUACGGAUGUAUCUGGUUACGUUUUAGUAUUAGAUACAUCCGUAUCUAGACAAAUCUAAGACAAGAAUUUUGGGAUGGAGGGAGUAUUUUUCUAAAAUGCACAACUUAGAAUUUUUUUUCUUGUUUUGUGUUGAUGUUUGAAGUUGAAUAUAUUGGCCUUGUCCUUUUGAGCAUUCUGGUCUAGCUGCCUGAUGAUUACCACAAAGAAUGGAGAUCUGAAUGCACUUUCCUGUUGAAGCUCGCUUGGCCGCUUUGGUGCAUAGGCAAAUCCAAGGGAUUUUUGGGGAUCUGUUGGAGAUGGUCUAUACCUCCUGCUCCUGCUGCUGCUGCUCUAAUACUACUUCCACCAUCACUGGUGUUCCUUGCAUGCCUGGAACUACUCAACCCUCCCGAACUCUUAAUUUCUUUUGACUGAGCUGGCUAACUGGACUCCAGGAUUAAAUAUGUUGAUGACAGAAGUAAUAAUGAAGGCUUGGCUGAUUGAAAGAAUGCUCCUAUAUGUUUGUAUAGCGUUUUGCAGCCCUGUUUGCUUAAUGAUCAGGGUGUUUUUUUGGAUUAGGGUGUUUCUGCAGUUUCAUUAAAGCUCUUCUUCUGAUCUUUUCUGACAACCGAAUGUUGUUUCUUUUGCUGUUUUGGUUUUGUCUGUUUGGUUUGUGCACCUUGAGAUUUCCUUGCGUACCUCUCAGACAUGGUUGCUGGUUUCUUGUGUGUAAACUGCCAGCCUGAUGAUUAGCCUAAGAAUGGAGAUCUCAAUCCAUUUCUCCCGUUGAAGCCUGCUUGGCUGCCAUGUUUGAUUCAUCCCAUCGAUUGUUUCUUUGCUGGGUUUCUCUCAGGAGUAAGUUGCAAAAACCCCAACAUGCAUGCAUGCACACAUGUACAUACAUGGCAGUCUAAAUGGGCUCCGGGAAUGGAUGUGUAGACUGUAGAAGCAAAUGUUAUGAAGGCUUUGCAGAUCGAUUAAUGCCCUCACUAGAUUCAUGUUAUGCUUGUUUAAGGAGCAUUUGAUCUUAGUUUGAGGCUGCGCGCAUUCCUUCCAUGGUUUAUUGCUCGGUGUUUUGCUGUAGAAAUCAUCAUGGAAGUAUUUGUUGGGUUCUUAAGACAUUAGCAAGAUUAGCAGAUACGAGAAUCAAGUUAGUAAUAUCUGUAUAGUACUGUGUUUGUGUAUCUAAUAAGGUUAGUCAUAGUGGGGAGUAACUUGGUGUCACGCAUAUGACACUAGUCUUCAUAGACUAUGGGUAGUAUCAUGGAAGCCUUAUUUGCUUAGAUGACUCAUUUUCCCUUUGGGUGUGUUAUGUUAUGGUGACAUUAUGUUACCACAAACACCUCUCACUAACUACUUGACACAUAAGCAAACUUGUCUUGGGGAGCGUUAUGUUACUAGCUAAAGUUGCUCCCACUAUGGCCAGCCCAAGGAGCAAUAUGUGCGUUGCCAGCCUGGUGAUUAACCUUUGCACAAAGAAUGGGGUGUCUGCUCCGAUGAAGCUUAGCUUGGCUUUGCCUGCUGUGGUGGAUCCUACUCCCUCGUCUAAAUAUUUGAAGCAAUUUUCUCUUAGGAAUAAAUUGGAUCAUGCAAGCAUAUAUUGAUAUGUACAUACAUCUCAGAUCUUACACCAGCCUUGCUAGGUGGGCUCCGGUAAAUGCACAGAAUGCCCAGGUCUGUAACAAUCCUAGAUGAUGAAGUUGUUUUGACUAUCAACUUAUCUCAAACACACAACUUCUUGGAAAUAGUUGCUAUGUUCUAUUCAUGUUGAGAUUUGCAGUUGAAAAUAUUUGGCUUUGUCAUUGGAGCAUUCUGAUCUAGCUGCCUGAUGAUUUCCAUUGUGUGCACUAAGAACUGGAGAUUUGAAUGCACUUCCCUGUGGAAGUCUGCUUGGCCACUCUGGUGGAUUGGCUCUACUAUUAGCUUGCUCUGCCUGCUGGGGGUACUAUUAUACCACUACUGCCACCACCAACACCAUCAACUCUUAUAUUUCUUUACGGAGGGAGUAAUUCUCAAUCUUUCUGAACUCUUCUGCCGAGCUGGCUAAGUGGACUCCAGGGAACAAAUAUGCUGAAGCAAGAAGUAUGAUGAAGGCUUGCAGAUUGAAAGAAUGCUCCAACUUGCCAUCCGACAAUGCUUUAAUAUUUUUUUGCAACUCUGCUGCUGAAUGGUCAUUGGUCUUUCUGCUGAUGCUUUGCAACGUUGAUUUACUUAAUUGUCAUAUACUCCCUCUUCUAUGUGAUGUUUUUGCAAAAUUGAUUGCUGGGAUGUUCAUUGGUCUUUCUGCAGAGUGAUUUAUGGUUUUUUUGGUUGUCUUCUUGAGCAAGCGAAUAUUGGUGCUCUUGCAGUUUUGUGGUGUUUUUUGCCUGUGUUGCUGUGUGUGCUUGAUGAGAUGUCCUUUUGUACCUCUACCAAACAUGGUUGCUGACUACUUGUGUUAAUUCAUUGUGUUUUUAAAGUGUAUUUUUCAGGCAUUAGAUGGUCCUGCAUAUGGGUCGAGGGUGGACUGAGAGCAAAUAACAAUGUGAAGUUGUGUCGUGGUAUAAAAACCAGAGUAUUUAAGUCCAGUAAAUGUUUAGGCUGAUUUUGUAUUUGAUUCUUUGUAAAUGUGAUGUACAGUCUUAGCUUAUAAUGUACUGUACUUUGGUUUUAGAUACAUACCUCUACUUUUGUAGAUGGGUUUUCACAAAUGAGCUACGAUCUAUGUGAUCAAAUUUCAUAAGAACAGGUUGGUAUGCAAGGUGGAAGCUUCAGUGCUCUGAAUUUUGCAAGUAUUUUAUCAUUCUAGUCCCCAAAUGGAGUUCAUUAUUUCUCCAAAUUAGGCUUUAUAGCGUAGACGAUCAGGUAUAUCAUACCUAGAAGGACUUUGAAGAUCUACUGGACUAGGUGCACGAUGCAAAAAAAAGGGCAAAAUAAAUAAUGGAGAAAAGUGACGUUGAAACGUGAGGCAAGGGGAGCCUCAUUUUUUUUUGAGGGGAAGCCUUCGUGCCGCACUUUAAAGCUGGGAGGAUUAUUAGUCCAAAAAAAAUAGAAGAAUUUGUGCCAAAAUGGUCCACUCUUGGAAUCUACGAAGUGGCUAAAUGGCAACUCCGCCAUUUUAAACUACAGUUCCGCCAACUCCGCUUCGGAAGCUGUGGAGCGGAGCAUUGCCAGCCCCCGUGUGUCUACCAAAUUGUGGGCCACUACGUUAGAGAUUGUACCAAUACAUUGUGCAUAGGGAGCCUCAUUUCACUAAGGUAAAUGAUUCGUUUUGAUCGACCGACUAGGAUUAAUGUGGAGGGAUUAAUGUGGAGGCGUUACGUACGGUGGGGCCCAUGCAUUGCUUUUCUCGCCCGGCCCCUAAUCGCUUCAUGCGGGCCGCACCACAUGUCAUGGUCAUGCCACUUUCUGCUGCGGGCCAAUGUCGCUAAGAGCUGCGAAUGGCGAAAGGGAGGGGCGGCGGUGCCGUGAGCACCCCUGAUAUGCGUUGUAAGAUCGAGGGGGAGGAGUUGCAAGGUGCUACAACCGGCAUAGCUAUUGUUAGGAUUUAGUUAAUUCUAUUAAUCCCUGUUUUUCCUAAUCCGGACGGGACGACCACGGCCAUGGAGCAACAACAAACUUCGAUCCAUAUCCCUGUGCUCGAUGGAUUGAAAUCAAGAAAGAGAGAAAUCGGAGUCAAGAAGCAACCGAAGCCUUGAUCUAAUUGCUACGUACAAGAAUCAAGGUGCUACCUUCCGAUUUUAAUCCUUUACGCAACAAACUGUCUUCAGGCAUGCAGGCCAUGGCCUUCGGCUGCCUUCCGGCAUGCAGCAGCGGGAAGAACAACACACGACCAUGGCCUUCGGCCUCUGCGUGGGGCUUCCUAGCGCGGCUCCUCUGCAGCCCCGACUCCUCUUGGAGUGGAGACGGCCAACGGCUGACGCGGCGCUCUUUCUUACGGUCGGCGAACCCAUCUCGCUCGUCGGUUACUGCGGCGCUCGCGCCCACGCGGCACCAGGCUGUGGCGGUCGAAGGUAGCAGUGGCCAACGGCCAUGGCCGCUCAGGUCGCACGACGCUGUUUUACUGAAGCCUCCCGUCGCACGACGCGGACACCGCAUCCGACGCGGAGCGACUUUCUCGAUGGCCUCGCCUGCCGAGGGAAUUGUGGCGGCUUCCGGCCGGCGACGCCUGAAGCGCGCGCGCCGCGGCGGCUCGUCCCUCAGGCGUCGGUGACUUGCUCCAUGCGUGUCAGCAAAGCAAGGCAACGCUGGUGGCGCAACCACCUGGAGCGGUGGCAGCCCGAAACGGCGGCCAUGGCGCGGCCUUCCCGGCCUCUUCCCCUGAGGGAGACCCAGCGCGCGGCGGCGCACAGUGCGGCCGUCUCCGGGCGGCGACGAUUAUCUGGGACGAGUCCCAAUCGUAACUGCAGAAGAGAACCUUAUCUCUUCGGCUGCUUUGACUGCAGCCCUUGCAGUUUCUCAUAAUCAAAAAUGAGUUUCUGCAGUUUUCUCUUAAGCCUUCCUGCUUAGUUCAUCACGCAUGGUAGCCUAUUUAUCUGUUGAGUUUCUUUAAAAAAAAUCCAGAAAUAUGUGGUUGUUGAUGCUUGACAUGUUCAAUGUGUGUGCUUUUUAGCAAUCCCUAUAACAUGUCCUAUUAAUACAACGACGCUGUUUUGCGAUUGAGAUUAAGUUUUCUCGCACAUCCAUAUUGAUUUGCGAUUGAGAAUUUUAUUUUCUCGCAAAACAAUCUCAUAGCGAUUGAGAUUAAUUUUCUCUCGCAAAAUAUUAAUUCAUCUUGUUGAAUUAUCUUGCAACUUGAUACAGGAUCAUCUCAUUUAAUUUGGGAUCUAUACAAUUCAAGUUUUUCACUUGAACAUCAAGUUUGCAACAUCAUUACUAUUCAUUAUAAUAGUGGUGUAUUUCUGUUGAGUACGAUGUAUUCCGGAAUGUAUGUAUCUCCAUGUCCGCUACAUGUUGAGAUUAAUACGUCUAUUUGUAAUUGAGAUUUUUAAUUUCUUGCAAAUAAGAAUGCAAAAUUCAAAGUGAUUUCUUCAAAUCAAUGUAUUGGGAUCACAAGGUAGUCAUUUAGAUCUACUGCCUUCGCAGAUUAUCAAUGACUACUGUUAAAGCUUAUAUUUUGUCAUUUUGACAUUAUAAUUGCUUUACAAAGUGCUCUCCCACGCAUUUUACUAAGUCAUGACAUAAGGCAUUACGAGUGAGUAUCUACUGGUUCCAUCAGAUUAUACUCUCUAGUGCUGCGAGAUCUACUCCAUUUUGGAGAUUAUCUUCAAGGUGUCAUAUUUAGCAAUUUGAGAUUCACACUAAUGGUUUCAAGAUAACUUCUUGAAAUACCCAUUGAUUUUGCUAAGUUCAUUAUAACAUCAACCAUGAUGGUCUUUAAUUUACUGGUUGUAAAUUAAUUAUCUCUGGUUUACCCAUAGAGGUAACAUAUGGCUAUAGAGUUUGGGGCAUUCGCCCUCAAUGGCCACCACUGCCCUAUCGGGGCCAUGGACAUCAUGAUCGCUCUUGUGUCUCGUGGGAUAAUGUGUGCAAUCCAGGAUUCACUUCUGGUCAGAAUCACACCGCUAAUAGAAAAAUGUUGUCUUAUACAUUAUAAGGCAUUAAAUUCAGAUCUCAGAAUCUGGUUAUUCUGUAUCAGCAAUUCCUGGGAUACAAUGAACCUCAAGGGCAAAGGUUUGAAUCUUACUUCAACCUUCAAUCCGACAACACCAGCUGUGACGGGACCCUAUGAGCACGGAGAACUUGAUGGUUGAAUAUGCCUCAACUGACAUGUUUGGAGACUUCUUCUAGUCUCUCAAUCUCCUGAGUGGUCAACAUAAUUUAUGUCAAUUUACGAUGUUCUAAUAAGAACAUAAGUAUUGUUGUCAUCAUAUAUUGUAUAUCACAAUAUAUUGUAUCAGCACUUUGAUACACAUACAUUUGUAUGCAUUCUAUAUAUCUGACAGUGAUUUUCAUAUUGAAAAUCUUCAUGUCUAUAUAUAGAUUUAUACGGGAGUCAAUCCGAUGAAAAAUGAUAUGUGCCUUGUGGACAUAUGCACCACACACACUCUAUACUCAGGGAAGUCCAAUGUUUCCACUCUCAUUGAGAGAAAGGAGAUAUUUUAAAAUCGCUAGACGCGAUGAGGUAUUUGUUGGCUCAACUCGAGUCAUAUUUACUAUCCUUGUGGGUACUCGAGUAUCGCCAGGAUGCUUUAUUGCUUCCGGGUUUAGCUCGUACCCUACUAAACUAUAGAGGUAUCCGUCAAAGUAGUUUCCAUAGUGAAACUUAUGAUGACAACAAAGAGGAAUAUCUUCUCUUUACCAUAUGCAACGGAUAUGGCAAGCACAUUCUCUAUGUAUCAUUGGCAUUGCACUACACAUACUACAAAACCCGUAGCACAUGUUACGCAUGAGAUAGUUUUCCAGAGUGUCUUUUGCAUGACAGACUUGGCAUUCCUGCUUUGGUCAUCAUUGACAUUGGGUUGAAACCGAAACUAUCAGCAAUUCCAGUGUUUAUGAUUAUUAUGAUGCUACAUUCUAACAAUAUUUGGAUUUUACGUGCACUACAUGUGACACACGGAGGAAAAUUUUAAGGCUUGUACACCUUAAAGUGUAUGCUGAACCACUCAGACUCCUUGAAUGCAUCAAGUCGAGGUAAGUGGCUCUUCCCAACCAUUGAGUAGACUAUUCAGGUAUUCCAUGGUUCUAAACGACAUAUCUACAUGAUGGUCUUAAGUGUGUGCUUUAUUCACACAAAACCAUUGGCUCAUUAUCUUGACAUCGAUUUCAAGCAAAUCGAAUGGAUAACCUUGCAGAAUUCUCCUUGAGUGCCUUCUUUAUGGCCCUUGGAUUGAAGUUUAGCAAUUUGUCCUAAUGUCUAGACUCAAAAUGGUUUGGUAGAAUCCUAUCCAAAGAGUUAAGCUCAUUGCAUAAUCUUUACUUUGGAAUUGCAACUUACCAACUUUAUGUUGGAGUCAUGCAGUCUUACACGCUCAUGACCAAACUACAUUAUAUUAUUCCCUCUAUCUUUUAUACGUGGAAAUCUACCAAGUAUUUCCUAUCUGCAGUAAUUCGGUUACACGCCGAUAUCACCACCCGGCAUACAUCAUUAGCCCCUCAACAUAUAGUUGGGAUCUAUGUGAGGAAUAACUGUAUUUCCAUCAAUACCUCAAGCCCCUCGAAUGGGGCAUUAUUCAAGGCCAGUAUGUUGAUUCAAUGAGGAAUAUUUCCAGGCAUUAGGGGGAGAAUUCAAGUACCAUAAAGAUGUUGGGGAACGUUGCAGAAAACAAAAAUUUUCCUACGUUUUCACCAAGAUCCAUCUAUGAGUUCAUCUAGCAACGAGUGAUCGUAUUGCAUCUACAUACCUUUGUAGAUCACGCGCGGAAGCGUUCAAAGAGCGGGGAUGAGGAAGUCGUACUCGACGUGAUCCAAAUCACCGGAGAUCCUAGCGCCGAACGGACGGCACCUCCGUGUUCAACACACGUACGGUCAGCGUGACGUCUCCUCCUUCUUGAUCCAGCAAGGGGAAAGGAGAGGUUGAUGAAGAUCCAGCAGCACGACGGCGUGGUGAUGGAUGCAGGGGUCACCGCAGCAGGGCUUCGCCGUUCUACUACGAGAGGGAGAGGUGUAGCAGGGGAGAGGAAGGCGCCAAGACUCAAGGGUGCGGCUGCCCCUCCCUCCCCCCUUUAUAUAGGCUCCCCUAGGGGGGCGCCGGCCCUAGGAGAUGGGAUCUCCUAGGGGGGCGGCGGCCAAGGGGUGGAGUGCCCCCCAAGCCAGGUGGGGCGCCCCCCCCCCACCCUAGGGUUCCCAACCCUAGGCGCAUGGGGUGGGCCAAGGGGGGCACACCAGACCACUAUGGGCUGGUUCCCCUCCCCACUUUGGCCCAAUGGGGCCCUCCGGGAUGGGUGGCCCCACCCGGUGGACCCCCGGGACCCUUUCGGUGGUCCCGGUACAAUACCGGUGACCCCCGAAACUCUCCCGAUGGCCGAAACUGCACUUCCUAUAUAUAAUUCCUCACCUCCGGACCAUUCCGAAACUCCUCGUGACGUCCGGGAUCUCAUCCGGGACUCCGAACAACUUUCGGGUUACUGCAUAUUCAUAUCUCUACAACCCUAGCGUCACCAAACCUUAAGUGUGUAGACCCUACGGGUUCGGGAGACAUGUAGACAUGACCGAGAUGGCUCUCCGAUCAAUAACCAACAGCGGGAUCUGGAUACCCAUGUUGGAUCCCACAUGCUCCUCAAUGAUCUCAUCGGAUGAACCACAAUGUCGAGGAUUCAAGCAACCCCGUAUACAAUUCCCUUUGUCAAUCGGUAUGUUACUUGCCCGAGAUUCGAUCGUCGGUAUCCCAAUACCUCGUUCAAUCUCGUUACCGGCAAGUCACUUUACUCGUACCGUAAUGCAUGAUCCCGUGACCAGACACUUGGUCACUUUGAGCUCAUUAUGAUGAUGCAUUACCGAGUGGGCCCAGAGAUACCUCUCCGUCAUACGAAGUGACAAAUCCCAGUCUUGAUCCGUGUCAACCCAACAGACACUUUCGGAGAUACCCGUAGUAUACCUUUAUAGUCACCCAGUUACGUUGUGACGUUUGGUACACCCAAAGCACUCCUACGGUAUCCGGGAGUUACAUGAUCUCAUGGUCUAAGGAAAAAAUACUUGACAUUGGAAAAACUCUAGCAAACGAACUAUGCGAUCUUGUGCUAUGUUUAGGAUUGGGUCUUGUCCAUCACAUCAUUCCCCUAAUGAUGUGAUCUCGCUAUCAAUGACAUCCAAUGUCCAUAGUCAGGAAACCAUGACUAUCUGUUGAUCAACGAGCUAGUCAACUAGAGGCUUACUAGGGACAUGCUGGUGUCUAUGUAUUCACACAUGUAUUACGAUUUCCGGAUAACACAAUUAUAGCAUGAAUAAAAGACAAUUAUCAUGAACAAGGAAAUAUAAUACUAAUCCUUUUAUUAUUGCCUCUAGGGCAUAUUUCCAACGGUCUCCCACUUGCACUAGAGUCAAUAAUCUAGUUACAUUGUGAUGAAUCGAACACCCAUGGAAUUCUGGUGUUGAUCAUGUUUUGCUCUAGGGAGAGGUUUAGUCAACGGAUCUGCUACAUUCAGGUCCGUAUGUACUUUACAAAUAUCUAUGUCUCCAUCUUGAACAUUUUCACGAAUGGAGUUGAAGCGACGCUUGAUGUGCCUGGUCUUCUUAUGAAACCUAGGCUCCUUGGCAAGUGCAAUAGCUCCAGUGUUGUCACAGAAGAGCUUGAUCGGCCCCGACGCAUUGGGUAUGACUCCUAGGUCGGUGAUGAACUCCUUCACCCAGAUUGCUUCAUGUGCUGCCUCCGAGGCCGCCAUGUACUCCGCUUCACAUGUAGAUCCCGCCACGACGCUCUGCUUGCACUGCACCAGCUUACUGCUCCACCAUUCAACAUAUACACGUAUCCGGUUUGUGACUUAGAGUCAUCCAGAUCUGUGUCGAAGCUAGCAUCGACGUAACCCUUUAUGAUGAGCUCUUCGUCACCUCCAUAAACGAGAAACAUGUCCUUAGUCCUUUUCAGGUACUUCAGGAUAUUCUUGACUGCUGUCCAGUGUUCCUUGCCGGGAUUACUUUGGUACCUACCUACCAAACUUACGGCAAGGUUUACAUCAGGUCUAGUACACAGCAUGGCAUACAUAAUAGACCCUAUGGCUGAGGCAUAGGGGAUGACACUCAUCUCUUCUAUAUCUUCUGCCGUGGUCGGACAUUGAGCUGAGCUCAAUUUCACACCUUGCAACACAGGCAAGAACCCCUUCUUAGACUGAUCCAUAUUGAACUUCUUCAAUAUCUUAUCAAGGUAUGUGCUUUGUUAAAGACCUAUGAGGCAUCUCGAUCUAUCUCUAUAGAUCUUGAUGCCUAAUAUAUAAGCAGCUUCUCCAAGGUCCUUCAUUGAAAAACUCUUAUUCAAGUAGGCCUUAAUGUUGUCCAAAAGUUCUAUAUCAUUUCCCAUCAAAAGUAUGUCAUCUACAUAUAAUAUGAGAAAUGCUACAGAGCUCCCACUCACUUUCUUGUAAACGCAGGCUUCUCCAUAAGUCUGCAUAAACCCAAACGCUUUGAUCAUCUCAUCAAAGCGAAUAUUCCAACUCCGAGAUGCUUGCACCAGCCCAUAAAUGGAUCGCUGGAGCUUGCAUACCUUGUUAGCAUUCUUAGGGUCGACAAAACCUUCCGGCUGCAUCAUAUACAAUUCUUCCUUAAUUAAACCAUUCAGGAAUGCCGUUUUGACGUCCAUUUGCCAUAUCUCAUAAUCAUAGUAUGCGGCAAUUGCUAACAUAAUUCGGACGAACUUCAGCUUCGCUACGGGAGAGAAAGUCUCAUCGUAGUCAACCCCUUGAACCUGCCGAUAACCCUUAGCGACAAGUCGAGCUUUAUAGAUGGUAACAUUACCAUCCGCGUCCGUCUUCUUCUUAAAGAUCCAUUUGUUUUCUAUCACUCGCCGAUCAUCGGGCAAGUCUGUCAAAGUCCAUAGUUUGUUUUCAUACAUGGAUCCUAUCUCGGAUUGCAUGGCUUCAAGCCAUUUGUCGGAAUUCGGGCCCGCCAUCGCUUCUUCAUAGUUCGAAGGUUCACCGUUGUCUAACAACAUGAUUUCCAAGACAGGGUUGCCGUACCACUCUGGUGCGGAACGUGUCCUUGUGGACCUACGAAGUUUAGUAGCAACUUGAUCUGAAGUUUCAUGAUCAUCAUCAUUAACUUCCUCUCUAAUUGGUGCAGGCACCACAGGAACAUUUUCCUAAGUUGCGCCACUUUCCGGUUCAAGAGGUAAUACUUCAUCAAGUUCUACUUGACUCCCACUUACUUCUUUCGAGAGAAAUUCUUUCUCUAGAAAGGAUCCAUUCUUGGCAACAAAGAUCUUGCCUUCGGAUCUGAGGUAGAAGGUAUACCCAAUAGUUUCUUUAGGGUAUCCUAUGAAGACGCAUUUUUCCGACUUGGGUUCGAGCUUUUCAGGUUGAAGUUUCUUGACAUAAGCAUCGCAUCCACAAACUUUUAGAAACGAUAGCUUAGGUUUCUUCCCAAACCAUAAUUCAUACGGUGUCGUCACAACGGAUUUCGACGGAGCCCUAUUUAAAGUGAAUGCGGCAGUCUCUAAAGCAUAGCCCCAAAAUGAUAGCGGUAAAUUGGUAAGAGACAUCAUAGAUCGCACCAUAUCUAAUAGAGUGCGAUUAAGAUGUUCGGACACACCAUUACGCUGAGGUGUUCCAGGCGGCGUGAGUUGUGAAACUAUUCCACAUUUUCUUAAGUGUGUGCCAAAUUCGUGACUCAAGUAUUCUCAUCCAUGAUCUGAUCGCAGGAACUUGAUUUUCCUGUCACGUUGAUUCUCAACCUCACUCUGAAAUUCCUUGAACCUUUCAAAGGUCUCAGACUUGUGUUUCAUUAAGUAGACAUACCCAUAUCUACUCAAGUCAUCAGUGAGGGUGAGAACAUAACGAUAACCAGCGCGAGCGUCAACACUCAUUGGACCGCACACAUCCGUAUGUAUGAUUUCCAAUAAGUUGGUUGCUCGCUCCAUUGUUCCUGAGAACGGAGUCUUGGUCAUUUUACCCAUGAUGCAUGGUUCACAUGUGUCAAAUGAUUCAUAAUCAAGAGACUCUAAAAGUCCAUCUGCAUGGAGCUUCUUCAUGCGUUUGACACCUAUGUGACCAAGGCGGUAGUGCCACAAGUAUGUGGGACUAUCAUUAUCAACCUUACUUCUUUUGGUACUCACACUAUGAAUAUGUGUAGCAUUACGCUCGAGAUUCAUUAAGAAUAAACCAUUCACCAUCGGAGCAUGACCAUAAAACAUAUCUCUCAUAUAAAUAGAACAACCAUUAUUCUCGGAUUUAAAUGAGUAGCCAUCUCGUAUUAAACGAGAUCCUGACACAAUGUUCAUGCUCAAACUUGGCACUAAAUAACAAUUAUUGAGGUUCAAAACUAAUCCCGUAGGUAAAUGUAGAGGUAGCGUGCCGACGGCGAUCACAUCGACCUUGGAACCAUUCCCGACGCGCAUCGUCACCUCGUCCUUCGCCAGUCUCCGCUUAUUCCGCAGCUCCUGCUUUGAGUUACAAAUGUGAGCAACUGCACCGGUAUCAAAUACCCAAGAGCUACUACGAGUACUGGUAAGGUACACAUCAAUUACAUGUAUAUCACAUAUACCUUUCGUUUUGCCGGCCUUCUUGUCCGCUAAGUAUUUGGGGCAGUUCCGCUUCCAGUGACCACUUUCCUUGCAAUAAAAGCACUCAGUCUCGGGCUUGGGUCCAUUCUUUGGCUUCUUCCCGGCAGCUUGCUUGCCGGGCGCGGCAACUCCCUUGCCGUCCUUCUUGAAGUUCUUCUUACCCUUGCCUUUCUUGAACUUAGUGGUUUUAUUCACCAUCAACACUUGAUGUUCCUUUUUGACUUCUAUCUCUGCUGAUUUCAGCAUUGCAAAUACUUCAGGAAUGGUCUUUUCCAUCCCCUGCAUAUUGAAGUUCAACACAAAGCUCUUGUAGCUCGGUGGAAGCGACCGAAGGAUUCUUUCAAUGACCGCGUCAUCCGGGAGAUUAACUCCCAGCUGAGUCAAGCGGUUAUGUAACCCAGACAUAGUGAGUAUGUGCUCACUGACAGAACUGUUUUCCUCCAUCUUACAUCUGAAGAACUUGUCGGAGACUUCAUAUCUCUCGACCCGGGCAUGAGCUUGAAAAACCAUUUUCAGCUCUUCGAACAUCUCAUAUGCUCCUUGUCUCUCAAAACGCUUUUGGAGCCCCGGCUCUAAGCUGUAAAGCAUGCCGCACUGAACGAGGGAGUAAUCAUCGGUACGUGUCUGCCAAGCGUUCAUAACAUCUUGUUCUGCAGGGAGAGCAGGUGCUUCACCUAGCGGUGCUUGUAGGACAUAGUCUUUCUUGGCAGCUAUGAGGAUGAUCCUCAGGUUCCGGACCCAGUCCGUAUAGUUGCUGCCAUCGUCUUUUAGCUUGGUUUUCUCUAGGAACGCGUUGAAGUUGAGGACAACGUUGGCCAUUUGAUCUACAAUACAUGUUGUAAAGAUUUUUAGACUAAGUUCAUGAUAAUUAAGUUCAUCUAAUCAAAUUAUUCAAUGAACUCCCACUUAGAUAGACAUCCCUCCAGUCAUCUAAGUAUAACAUGAUCCGAGUUAACUAGGCCGUGUCCGAUCAUCACGUGAGACAGACUAGUCAACAUCGGUGAACAUCUUCAUGUUGAUCGUAUCUUCUAUACAACUCAUGCUCGACCUUUCGGUCUUCUGUGUUCCGAGGCCAUGUCUGUACAUGCUAGGCUCGUCAAGUCAACCUAAGUGUUUGCAUGUGUAAAUCUAUCUUACACCCGUUGUAUGUGAACGUUGGAAUCUAUCACACCCGAUCAUCACGUGGUGCUUCGAAACAACGAACUGUCGCAACGGUGCACAGUUAGGGGGAACACUUUCUUGAAAUUAUUAUGAGGGAUCAUCUUAUUUACUACCAUCGUUCUAAGUAAACAAGAUGCAAAAACAUGAUAAACAUCACAUGCAAUCAAAUAAUAAUAGUGACAUGAUAUGGCCAAUAUCACAUAGCUCCUUUGAUCUCCAUCUUGGGGCUCCAUGAUCAUCUUGUCACCAGCUUGACACCAUGAUCUCCAUCAUCAUGAUCUCCAUCAUCGUGUCUCCAUGGAGUUGCUCGCCAACUAUUACUUCUACUACUAUGGCUAACAUGUUUAGCAAUAAAGUAAAGUAAUUUACAUGGCGUUUCUCAAUGACACGCAGGUCAUACAAAAAAAUAAAGACAACUCCUAUGGCUCCUGCCGGUUGUCAUACUCAUCGACAUGCAAGUCAUGAUUCCUAUUACAAUAGCAUGAACAUCUCAUACAUCACAUAUAUAUCAUUCAUCAUUCAUCACAACUUUGGCCAUAUCACAUCACAAAACACUUGCUGCAAAAACAAGUUAGACGUCCUCUAAUUGUUGUUGCAAGUUUUACGUGGCUGCAAGAGGGUUCUAGCAAGAACGUUUUCUUACCUACGUUAAAGCCACAACGUGAUUUGUCAACUUCUAUUUACCCUUCAUAAGGACCCUUUUCAUCAAAUCCGCUCCAACUAAAGUGGGAGAGACAAACACCCGCCAGCCACCUUAUGCAACUAGUGCAUGUCAGUCGGUGGAAUCGGUCUCACGUAAGCGUACGUGUAAGGUUGGUCCGGGCCGCUUCAUCCCACAAUACCGUUGAAGCAAAAUAAGACUAGUAGCGGCAAGAAAGUUGACAACAUCUACGCCCACAACAAAUUGUGUUCUACUCGUGCAAAAAGAACUACGCAUAGACCUAGCUCAUGAUUCCACUGUUGGGGAACGUUGCAGAAAACAAAAAUUUUCCUACGGUUUCACCAAGAUCCAUCUAUGAGUUCAUCUAGCAACGAGUGAUCGGAUUGCAUCUACAUACCUUUGUAGAUCACGCGCGGAAGCGUUCAAAGAGCGGGGAUGAGGAAGUCGUACUCGACGUGAUCCAAAUCACCGGAGAUCCUAGCGCCAAACGGACGGCAACUCUGUAUUCAACACACGUACGGUCAGCGUGACGUCUCCUCCUUCUUGAUCCAGCAAGGGUGAAGGAGAGGUCGAUGAAGAUCCAGCAGCACGACGGCGUGGUGAUGGAUGCAGGGGUCACCGCAGCAGGGCUUCACCGUUCUACUACGAGAGGGAGAGGUGUAGCAGGGGAGAGGGAGGCGCCAAGACUCAAGGGUGCGGCUGCCCCUCCCUCCCCCCUUUAUAUAGGCUCCCCUAGGGGGGCGCCGGCCCUAGGAGAUGAGGGCAAAUGGCAUUUCUCAACUAGAUUGCAAAAACCUUUCAAAUGAUUCAGAUCCAAAGACCAUGGCCAUGGCAAAGUGUGAACAACACUCGGACUGAACUCAAGCAAAGGGUAUAAUCUAGGUAGAAAUGAUCGUGCUCAAUAAUGGGAAGGUAUUCAUAAACAAUACCUACACCAGUUUUUUUCUGGAAACAGAAUUGAGAACAAUGAGGUGGUGAAACAAAGAGCAAGUAUUGUAGCACAAGGGUUCACGCAGAUACCCAACUAUUCUCCAGAGGUGGAAUCUCUUUCCGGUAACUUAUAUCAUUGGCAAUACAAAAUCAUCUAUCUCUGCAGUUGAUAGAUGCAGUGAUUACAUAUCCAUGUGGAUCACUAGAUUCAGACAUAUAUGAUUGAUUUCCGAUGGAAUCUCAAUUCUGAAUCGAAAUACAAAAUGCAACAUACAUUGUGUAAAACUAGUAAGUCACCAUACGACUUAUUGUGGUCGGUACAUAUGGUACAACCGACGUAGUGAGUUCCUUAUACAAAAGGGUUACUCCUGCAAAGAUGAUUAUGCAUGUUUGUAUGUCUGCAAUGAUGACACAUGUAAUCAUCUAAUGACGGAGUUUAAAUGAAGGAUUUGGGUAAACCAAAACACCACUCUUUACUACAACUUGAGCACCUUCAUUCAUACAUUAUGGUAUACUAUGUUGUCUAUAUCCAAGAUAUAUUGGAGAAAUUCAUUGUGGACAAAUAUUAUCAAUCCAUAACUCUCAUGGUAGUUCAUUAUCUAGACAUAGAGAAUGAUCUAUUUAGACCAAAAGAUGAUGGAAAUGAGAUAUUGGGACUCAACGUUCCAUAUGCCAUUGGACCGACCAAACACAAUUGGUUGGUACUCAAGAAUAUCUUCCGAUAUCUUCAAGGCAUGAAACAUCUUGUCCUGGUUUUUUAGUUUUGGAGAAAUCUGAACACCAAUAUCAUUGGAUACAUCGAUCAGAUCCCCACUAUGUCAGAUCGUAGACAAGUUUAGUGUUCCUACUAGGUGUGGUAGCCCUCUCAUGAAGAGUCUUUGAAACAGACCUCAUGGCUGCAUCCACCAACCAUUAUCUCAACGAUAAUGUUUCUUGUGUUGCUCGGAUGCAAACAGGUUACAUAAUAAGCAAUAUCACUAUAUUGCAUAUCUUGCAAGUCAAAUCAAUGCGACUGAUUUGUUCAGCGGGUCUCUACUAACUUCUAUGUUUUGGUAUGUGACGGCUUCGAAUUUUGCAAGAAUCAGGGGGAGCAUCUUCCUGAAUUUUUCCUGUUCAAUGCAUCAUAUUAUAAUCUUUUUCCCUUCAUGAGUUUACUUUACAGGUUCUCAUAAAGGUUUUUAAUGAGGUAAUAUCAACAUGAGAUCAUAUGACAUACUUCCUGUUUUCCCCACCGGGGUUUUGGGAAAGUAUAUAUGACACAUUUAUUGUCCUCUAAGCUCUAUGAGUUUUUCUCGUAUUGAGUUAAAAGAGAUAAUGACCAUUAUAUGUUGUAUCAUUUUCUCCUUAUUUUUCCCACUGGGUUUGAAGGAGUUUUAGCAACAUAUCAAACACCUAUCUCCUCAUAUUUUUCCCACAUGGUUUUUGGAGGAGCUUCUCAAGAUGAUGAUACUUACACUAACAAGCAUGGAUUAGGGGGAGUGUUAGGAUUUAAUUAAUCCUAUUAAUCCCUGCUUUUCCUAAUUGAGGCGGUUGUCUCGUGUCCCUUCGGACGUACCCCUUCGGGGGCUAUAUAUAUGUAAUCCCAUCAUCAAUGAGAACAACUAUUCUACUACUUGUCAUUUGCCUCUUGCAAUUACUUCGAACAGCUAUAAGCUUAACUGCAGGCACGCGACCAUGUCGGCGAUCAUGCUAACGACUGCCGAUGUUGCAACUGGCGAAGCUAAAAGCGACGAUCGGAGAAAUCAAAAGCUAUAAUCGGCAGGCCAUGCGGAGUUGCCAUGACAACGACGACUGGGUGGUGCAAUCGACCACCGGCGUGCUACGACGGGCAUUGCAAGGGGUUAGAACUGGGCUAUCAAGGGUGCUACAAGGACGACGACGAGCUGCAACUAGAGGAGUGCUUGGUGUUGCAACCAACUCGAUGACAAGCUGGAACCAGCAUGCUGGCGAGAUGCAACCGAAGGCGCACGAUGCUACAGCCGACACACAGCAAGCUGGAACCAGAGGGCACCCGAUUUUGCAAAAGUCAUGGGGGCAAAGCUGGAACCGAGCAUGCCUGGUGCUGCAACCGGUGCGGUGCAAGCAACUAUGACGAGCGAGGACCUCGAGCAUCGGUGAGCGGUGGUGUGUCUGAUGCUAGUUUGGCGAAGAGGGGUGCCGCCGACCAUGAGCGCGGCGGGCAUCGAUUUGCGAGCAGAAUGGACGUGCUGGUGCCGGGCUACGCGUGGGGUUGGGGAACACCUGCUUGGGAUCACCGAUCUAGUGGCAGUUAUGCACUUAAUCGUGUGAUUGCAGCGCGACCGGCCGGUCGGCGCCUAGCGCCGCCUUUUCACUAAUGAUACGUCUUCUUUGCUAGUGUUUUGUUUUACAGGCACAAGAAAAGUGGCUCUAGACGUAGGGUUUCUGCUCCCGAGCUCAAAUGCAUCCCAUGAACAGUAAAAUUAAAAAAAAAGUAAAAUGUUUAAAAAGUUGUGAUUUUUUUCAAUAAACAUUGUUAAAUGUUUUUGGACGUGCAUACUUCUUGAAGAAAAAACAUUCCUAAUGAUAUGGAAAAAAUGAUGCUCAAAAAGACUAUUGUUGAAAGUAUUUUGGAGUGUUGAUUUUGUUAUUUUUGCCUAGAACUCUAUGAAUGUGAUUUCAUCAGGAAAAUGUGCACACAAGAAGAAAACUAAGCACAUUAUACAUGUCAAUACAACAUGUAUUUUUUUAGGGGCGGUACAACAUGUAUUACGUUGUACUCCUAUUACUUGAUAAUAAUGUUUAUGGUUAAAGUUUUAAAAGCUUUAUAAGACAUGCCCAAAACAACAUCUACUUAUGACAUGAAGAGAUUAUCGAAAUUGUUAACUUCCGAACUUUCGGCAUUUGUCAUUAGAUCCGAAUGAUUCGUGGGGCAUCGAUGCCCAUGGCCCGCGCACAUCACUCGCUCGUGCAAAAAUUAUUAUGGUGAGGAGGAUUCCUAUGACUAUGAGAUUAUGCAACUCCCGAAUACCAAAUGAACACUUAGUGUGCUAUCAAACGUCACAACGUAACUGGGUGAUUAUAAAGAUGCUCUACAGGUGUCUCCGAUGGUGUUUGUUGAGUUGGCAUAGAUGGAGAUUAGGAUUUGUCACUCCGAUUGUCGGAGAGCUAUCUCUAGGCCCUCUCAAUAAUGCACAUCACUAUGAGCCUUGCAAGAAAUGUGACUAAUGAGUUAGUUACGGGAUGAUGCAUUACGGAACGAGUAAAGAGACUUGCCGGUAACGAGAUUGAACUAGGUAUGAUGAUACCAACGAUCGAAUCUUGGGCAAGUAACAUACCGAUGACAAAGGGAACAACGUAUGUUGUUAUGCGGUUAGACCAAUAAAGAUCUUCGUAGAAUAUGUGGGAACCAAUAUGAGCAUCCAGGUUCCGCUAUUGGUUAUUGACCGGAGAUGAGUCCCGGUCAUGUCUACAUAGUUCUCGAACCCAUAGGGUCCGCACGCUUAACGUUCGAUGGCGAUAUGUAUUGUUAGUUAUGUGAUUUGAUGUACCGAAGGUUGUUCGGAGUCCCGGAUGUGAUCACAAACAUGACGAGGAGUCUCGAAAUGGCCGAGACAAGAAGAUUGAUAUAUUGAAAGGUUAUGUUUGGACACCGGAAAGAUUUCGGAUAGGUUCGGGCAUUUUUCGGAGUACCGGGGGGUUACCGGAACCCCCCGGGGGGUUAAUGGGCCUUCAUGGGCUUUAGUGGAAAAGAGGAGGAGGCGGCCAAGAGGAGGUACGCGCCCCCCAAACCCAAUCUGAAUUGGGGAGGGGGCCGCCCCCUUUCCUUUAUCCCCUCUUCCCUUUCCUUCCCCUCCUAGUUGGACUAGGAAAGGGGGGAACCUACUCCUAGUAGGAGUAGGAUUCCCCCCCUUGGGGCGUGCCCUAUGAGGCCGGCCGGCCCCCUCCCCCACUCUUUUAUAUACGGGGCAGGGGGGCACCCCAUAGACACACAAGUUGAUUUCUUAGCCGUGUGCGGUGCCCCCCUCCACAGAUUUCCACCUCGGUCAUAUUGUGGUAGUGCUUAGGCGAAGCCCUGUGUUGGUAACUUCAUCAUCACCGUCAACACGCCGUCGUGCUGGCAAACUCUCCCUCGACCUCAGCUAGAUCUAGAGUUCGAGGGACGUCACCGAGCUGAAGGUGUGCAGAUCGCGGAGAUGUCAUGCGUUCGGUACUUGAUCGGUUGGAUCGCGAAGACGUUCAAGUAAAUCAACCGUGUUACUCAACGCUUCCACUUUCGGUCUACGAGGGUACGUAGACACACUCUCCCCUCUCGUUUCUAUGCAUUUCCUAGAUAGAUCUUGCAUGAUCGUAGGAUUUUUUUUAAAAUACCGCGUUCCCCAACAGUGGCAUCCGAGCCAGGUCUAUGCGUAGAUGUUAUAUGCAUGAGUAGAACACAAAGGUGUAGGAUCGAAAGUAUCUCUAGAGGGGGUGAUUAGACUACUUGACCAAAUAAAAAUCUAGCCUUUUCUCAAUUUUAAUUCUUGGCAGAUUUUAGCAACUUAGCACAAGUCAAGCAAACAACCUACACAUGCAGUUAUAAGAGUAUAGCAGCGGAAUGUAAAACAAUUGCAUAUGAAGGUUGUAACACCCCGGAUGUAACUUUCCCAAUUUGUACUCCAACUCUUGCCGUUUCCGGCGUUAGGUUAUAUUUAUUUCCUCGGGUUCGGGUCUUUGUCUUCGUGUGUUGUUAUCGCUGUCAUGCAUCUCAUAUCAUGUCAUCAUGUGCAUUGCAUUUGCAUACGUGUUCGUCUCAUGCAUUCGAGCAUUUUCCCCGUUGUCCGUUUUGCAUUCCGGCGCUUCGUUCUCCUCCGAUGGCCAUUUCUAGCUUUCUUUCGUGUGUGGGGAUUAAACAUUUCCAGAUUGGACCGAGAAUUGUCAAGCGGCCUUGGUUUACUACCGGUAGACCGCCUGUCAAGUUUCGUAUCAUUUGGACUUCGUUUGAUACUCCAACGGUUAACCGAGGGACCGAAAAGGCCUCGUGUGUGUUGCAGCCCAACACCUCUCCAAUUUGGCCCAAAACCCACCUAACUCUGCUCCAUCAUCUAGAGCGUUUGAUCACGACCGCGUGGCCGAAAACCGCACCUCAUUUGGACUCUCCUAGCUCCCUCUAUGCCUAUAAAUAGACCCCCCUAAAUUUCGGAUCUCCUUCUCCCCCGAAACCCUAGAAAUCGCCCCCGCACCGGCCGGACACGUCCGAAUCCGGCCGGACGCGUCCGCUCCGCUGCUCCCAGCCUCUCCCGCGCCGCCACGUGGCCACAGCCGCCGUCCCCACCGCCACGGCCCGCCAGGCCCAGGGAGGGCCCCCGCGGCCCGUAGCGCCGCNNNNNNNNNNNNNNNNNNNNNNNNNNNNNNNNNNNNNNNNNNNNNNNNNNNNNNNNNNNNNNNNNNNNNNNNNNNNNNNNNNNNNNNNNNNNNNNNNNNNNNNNNNNNNNNNNNNNNNNNNNNNNNNNNNNNNNNNNNNNNNNNNNNNNNNNNNNNNNNNNNNNNNNNNNNNNNNNNNNNNNNNNNNNNNNNNNNNNNNNNNNNNNNNNNNNNNNNNNNNNNNNNNNNNNNNNNNNNNNNNNNNNNNNNNNNNNNNNNNNNNNNNNNNNNNNNNNNNNNNNNNNNNNNNNNNNNNNNNNNNNNNNNNNNNNNNNNNNNNNNNNNNNNNNNNNNNNNNNNNNNNNNNNNNNNNNNNNNGCCCCUCUCCCUCAUCUCCGGCGCCGUUCCGGCGAGUACUCCGGCGAACGCCUCGGUAGGCGUGCAGAUCUGGAAACCCUAGAUCCGGUGAUUUUUUUUCGUCUAAGUCCUCGGAAUUUUCAGUCCAAGUGCUCAUGUUCGCGGCUCCAUAACUUUGCAUCCGUAGCUCCGAUUCAUGCAUAUAGCAUAUCAAAAUGUUCAUCUCAGAGAGUACAUCAUUUCACUCCAUUGCAUCAUUUUCAUUUGAGUGCAUCUUGAUGCUCGAAAUGCUGUUAGAAGAGGGCUACUUGAGAUAAUUGUCAGAUCUGCUACUCCAUUUAGCCUUUUGUCAUUUUUGCCAUGAUUAAUGUGUGCAUGAUAUGCCCUGAUGCUCUAGAUGUGUUUUGUUAAGGGUUUUGUCAUCUUUCCAGAGGUGCAACCCAUGUAUUUUCGUGAUGUGUGUGGUGACUUGUGCAAGCUUGCAAAGUGGUCCGUGCCUCUUUUGAGGAUGAUCAGUAAGGAUGUUUCACUAAGUCCAUGUAUUUUCAGGGACUUAGCAAUUUCACUAAGUCCUGGAGCUGUUUAUCUCAUGAUGCCAUAUGUUCAUGUUGUUUCCUAGUGAUCCGUGCCUUUUUCGAGGAUGAUCAGUAAGGAUGUUUUGUUAAUCUUGUAGUGCUCUAUCCAUCCAUGUCUUUGUUUGCAAUUAUGGAGCACCCUAGCUUGAGUCAAUCGAGCUCUACUUUGGCUACUUUGUGAAUCUGGGCAGAUUGUCAACUUGUUUGCAAUUUUGCCGAGGAUGUUUUAGUUGAUCCAUGCAUGCUAUGCUAUUGUUCUUGCCAUGUCUAGCUUGAAUUUUGUGCCUUCUUGGUGUAUGUAUGCUUGUCUUGCCAUGACUUGCACCGUAGUGAGUGCAUCGAGCUCGUAAACAUGCCUACUUGAGUUAUAUUUCAGCAUGUGCCAGUUUUCACUAAGUAUGAAAACUGAUUAUGUUUUUGCUAUGUUCACAUGCUUGCAAUUGUAUUUUAUGAUCCCUUUUGGCUCAAGGUCACUAAGGGACUUUUGUUAAGCUCUUUGAGUAGCUCCAUGCCAUGCUUUACUUUGCCAUGAUCAGAUCCUGUAGCAUGUAGUUUUGUUGCUUCGAAGAGGGCUACCUGAUCUAAAAUUCCAGACAAGUGUUGAUUUCACUAAGUCUCAGAUCUGUUUGUCAUAUGCAUUUUUGCCAUGCUUCUUUGAACCUGUUAAUGGAUGAAUUGGCCAUAGCUUAGUGCUAGACUUUUGUUAAGCAUCUUGUAUGCAUCCCUGCCAUGUAUUUUGUUGUCAUGUUUGGUUGCUGUAGCAUGUUCAUCUCAUUGCAUUUAGUUGGCUACUUGCUGUAAAUCGCAGACCGGUGCCAUAUUUGAAUCGCUUGCCAUUUCCAAACCGUAACUCCGAUUCCGGCGUUCUUUAUAUCGUUUUCAAGCGAUUUCGCCUCAUCUUCCAGUGGCACACUUGGUUUUCCAAGUUGAGGCCAGGUUCAUGCAUUUCCUAUCAUAUCUUGCAUUUUGCAUCCCGCAUCGCAUUCCGCAUAACAUAUCAUCAUUGCAUCAUAUUGCUUGGUCUCGCACGUGGUUGAUUGUGCCCUUGUUGCUUGUUUGUCUUGUUUGGGUAGAGCCGGGAGACGAGUUCGCUAAUGAGGAGCCCGUUGAGUUUGCUUUUGAGGAUCCAGUCAACUCUGACAACUGUGCAGGCAAGAUGAUCAUACCCUCGAAAUCACUACUAUCUUUGCUAUGCUAGUUUGCUCGCUCUUUUGCUAUGCCAUUGCUACGAUGCCUACCACUUGCUUUCAAGCCUGCCAAAUUGCCAUGUCAAACCUCUAACCCACCAUUGUCCUAGCAAACCGUUGAUUGGCUUUGUUACCGCUUUGCUCAGCCCCUCUUAUAGCGUUGCUAGUUGCAGGUGAAGAUUGGAGGCCGUUCCUUGUUGGAACAUUUAUUUACUUGUUGGGAUAUCAUUAUAUUGCCAUGUUAUCUUAAUGCAUCUAUAUACUUGGUAAAGGGUGGAAGCUCGGCCUCUCGCCUAGUGUUUUGUUCCACUCUUACCGCCCUAGUUUCCGUCAUAUCGGUGUUAUGUUCCCAGAUUUUGCGUUCCUUACGCGGUUGGGUUAUAAUGGGAACCCCUUGAUAGUUCGCCUUGAUUAAAGCUUUUCCAGCAAUACCCAACCUUGGUUUUACCAUUUGCCACCUAGCCUUUUCUUUCCCUUGGGUUCUGCAGACUCAAGGGUCAUCUUAUUUUAAACCCCCUGGGCCAGUGCUCCUCUGAGUGUUGGUCCACCUGUCAGCUGCCGGUGGCCACCAGGGGCAACUCUGGGCUGGCCUACCCAUACCUAAGACAAUCUGAGUGUGCCCUGAGAAAGAGAUAUGUGCAGCUCCUAUCGGGAUUUGUCGGCACAUUCGGGCGGUGUUGCUGGUCUUGUUUUAACCUGUCGAAGUGUCUUGAGUAACCGAGAUACCGAGUCUGAUCGGAACAUCUUGGGAGGAGGUCUAUUCCUUCGUUGACCGUGAGAGCUUGUCAUGGGCUAAGUUGGGACUCCCUUGCAGGGAUUGAACUUUCGAAAGCCGUGCCCACGGUUAUGGGCAGAUGGGAAUUUGUUAAUGUCCGGUUGUAGAUAACUUGAACCUUAACUUAAUUAAAAUGAAUCAACUGACUGUGUUACCGUGAUGGCCUCUUCUCGGCGGGGUCCGGGAAGUGGACACGGUGUUGGAGUAAUGUUUGCGCAGGUUGCUCUCUAGUUUCUCGCACGCGCUUUGCCUCCUAUUCUCGCUCUCUUUUGCGAAUAAGUAGCCGCCAUACUUUCUAGUCGCUUGCUGCAGCUCCACUUAUAUUUACCUUGCCAUACCUAUAAGCUUAAAUAGUCUUGGUCGCGAGGGUGCGAGAUUGCCGAGUCCCUGUGGCUCACAGAUUACUAUUACACCAGAUGCAGGGCCUGAUGAUUCCGCUCUAGGAGACGCGUAUGAGCUCAAGUGGGAGUUCGACGAAGACUCUCAACGUUACUAUGUUUCCUUUCCCGAUGAUCAGUAGUGGUGCCCAGUUGGGGGUGAUUGGGACCGUGUCGCUUGUUGGGUUAUCUUUUAUUUUGGCGCCGUAGUUGGGCCAUGAGUAUUUGGAUGAUGUAAUUUUAUUUAUGUACUUGAUUGACAUGGCGAGUGUAAGCCAACUAUGUUAUCUCCCCUUUUAUUAUCAUAUUACAUGGGAUGUUGUGAAGAUUGCCUAACUUGCGAAACAUGCCUUCAAUGCGAUUAUGUCUCUAAGUCGUGCCUCGACACGUGGGAGCUAUAGUCGCAUCGAGGGUGUUAUAAAGGUAAAUGGAGUACUUUGGAGGGAGCAAACGCAAUGUAGACACGGAGAUUUUUGGUGUGGUUUUGAUUGGUGGUGCUAUCGUACAUCCACGUUGAUGGAGACUUCAACCCACGAAGGGUUACGAUUGCCUGAGUCCACGGAGGGCUCCACCCAUGAAGGGUCCACGAAGAAGCAACCUUGUCUAUCCCACCAUGGCCAUCGCCCACGAAGGACUUGCCUCACUAGGGUAGAUCUUCACGAAGUAGGCGAUCUUCUUGCCCGUACAAACUCCUUGGUUCAACUCCACAAUCUUGAUGGAGGCUCCCAAGUGACACCUAACCAAUCUAGGAGACACCACUCUCCAAGAGGUAACAAAUGGUGUGUUGAUGAUAAACUCCUUGCUCUUGUGCUUCAAAUGAUAGUCUCCCCAAGACUCAACUCUCUCCCAUAGGAUAGGAUUUGGUGGAAAGAUGAUUUGAGUGGAAAGCAACUUGGGGAAGGCUAGAGAUCAAGAUUUAUAUGGUUGGAAUGGAAUAUCUUGACCUCAACACAAGUGUAGGUGGUUCUCUCUCAGAAAAUGUAUGUUGGAAGUAUAGGCAUGUUCUGAUGGCUCUCUCCACGAAUGAAGAGUGGGUGGAGGGGUAUAUAUAGCCUCCACACAAAAUCUAACCGUUACACACAAAUCACCAAACUUGGUGGGACCGAAUCAUACAACUUGGUCAGACCGAUUUAGUUCAUAAUGUGACCGUUAGGGUUUUCGGUGGGACCGACAUGUCAACUCAGUGGGACCGAUAUCAUUAGGGUUAGGGCAUAACGUAAUCUCGGUGAGACCGAUUACAGAAACUCGGUGAGACCAAUUUUCGUAAUAGACUAACCAGAGAGUUGGUCAGGCAAUCUCGGUGGGACGAUUCGCUCUUUCGGUAGGACCGAAAUGUUAUGAAAGGGAAACAGAGAGUUUGCAUUGCAAUCUCGGUGGGACCGAUCGCUCAUCUCGGUUGGGACGAAACGUUAUGAAGGGAAACAGAGAAAUUACAAUCCCAUCUUGGUGAGACCGAGAUCCCUGUCGGUAGGACCGAAAAGACUAGGGUUUGUGGCAGUGGCUAUGUCAAGUGAACUCGGUGGCACCGGAUAGAUCAAAUUGGUGGGGCUGAGUUUGACUUUUGGUUUGGGAUAUAUUUGGAUAUGAGAAAGUAGUUGAGCGGUUUUGGAGCAUAUCACUAAGAAUUUUGAGCAAGAACCUCAUUAAGCAACAUCUCACCCCCUCUUAAUAGUAUUGGCUUUUCCUAUGGACUCAAUGGGAUCUUGGAUCACUAAAAAUAAAAUGUAGAGUCUUGUGCUUUGAGCUUGAGCCAAUCCUUUUGUCCUUAGCAUUUUGAGGGGUCCACUUUCCAAUCCAUGCCAUGCCAAUCAUUGAGCUUUUGCUGAAAUAUUUAUCUUCAAGUAGCAUUAGCUCAAUGGGCUAUAUGUUGUUAGGAAUUACCAAAACCACCCAGGGAUAGUUGCACUUUCAAUCUCCCCUUUUUGGUAAUUGAUGACAACAUAUAGAUCAAAGCUUCGACAAAUGAUUAUAAGAUUGAAAAACAUCGUCGCUUUGAGAAGUAUGUGAUAAACAAGAGCUCCCCCUAAAUUUGUGCAUUAUUUAAAAUUUGCUUUUGAAUGCAAAUGCACAAUCGAUUAGGAUCAUGGGUUACUCUUCCAUGUCACAUACAUCUUGGUGGAGCGCUCAAAAUGAUAGAAAUUAAAAGCAUGCACUCAUCACCAAGCAAGUGAAUGAUCAUAUAUGGAAUAUAAAGGAUAGCAUCAUUCAACCAAACAUUAAGGUAGCAUAUGAUCAACCACAUGAACAUAUGAGUAUCUCACAAGGACAUAAAGUAUCUCACACGAGCACACAAUAAAGUACUUCAACCAAAAUAGCAAGAGAGACAAAAAGCAAGACACUCUCUCUCGAAGCCUAUGAUAUAUACAUGUUUCUCCCACUUUGGCAACAAGUUACCAAAAAGUUUGAAAAUGCAUAGUGCUCUACGUCUCUCAGGCUUGGUCUUCAGGAGGUGGUGUAGAUAGAACUCCAAGGACGAAGGCUUCCGAUGAUGUAGUUGGAGCUGAUGGAGUGGGUGCUGGAGGUGGCACUGGAGCUGUAGCUGCUGGUGCUGACACUGAAGCUCUAGCAUCUGAGACUGGCACUGCAACAGACCUUGGACCUCGUGGCACAUGCUUAAAAGCAUCAGUGGUUGCUUUUCCUCUCCUCUCCUCUGCUUCCUCCUGAAGCUGCUCAACUGCAGUCUGAAUCUCAGUCACCUUCAGAUCAAGAUAAUAGAAUUUUGUUUCCACAAUCCUCUCCAGGCUCUCCUGAGUCUGAGUCAGGGUGGCCAAGCCCUUCUCAAUCCUCAGUGUAGCUUGAAUCAGAUAGCCUAACUGAUCUUGCUUGCUCUUCAGGAAGACUCGAGAUGCCUCUUCAACACUUGGCAUCUGGGCAGCUUUCUCAUCCUUUUCCUUAGCUCUCUACUCCUGGACUUGAUCUGAUGAUGGUUCUUCCUCAUUCAUCACAACAGUGUUGUCUUCAAACUCAGGAUAUAGAGGUAGAUGCUCCUUGUACAGCAAGUAAGUCCCUGUUCCCAUCUUAGAGUUGAUGAGCUCCUGAAUAUGUGGAGCAUAUCCACAACUCCUCUUUUGAUCAGCAGCAGUCCUUUUGAUUGUUUCUACAAUCAAGCUCAUAACUUUGAAUUUCUGAGGAACAUCAAAAAUUUGCAGCAUGUUGAUGGAGUGUCCUCUGAUCAUCUUGUGAUCUCCUGACUUGGUUAGCAAUGUGUGCCUUAAGAUCCAGUUAAUGGUAGGCACACCAGACAACAAGAAAUGCACAGAUCCAAGCUUGUAAGUUUCUAAAGCCUUAUCAGGGAUCUCCUUGUACAUGUUUGUCAUUGAGUUGUGGUCUUUCUUCUUGGUGGCAUACACAUCCAAGUCAUCUUCAUGUUCCUCUAGGGCAUUGAUUAGCUUGGCCCAUUCAUCAACCGUGGACUGGUAUCUGCUACCCUCAGACAUCCAAACUAUCCUCCCAUCUGGAUAGAAGUGGGCAGUGGAGUAGAACUGCAUGAUCAACUCAUCAUUCCAUUUGGUGAGCUUUUGUCCAAUGAAUUCAUCUACUCCACAAGCCUUAAAGCUGUCAUACACUCCAGGGAAGUGAUCUUCAUUUUCCUGGAUGAACUCCCAGUCCACCCAUUUCAUGUCACACACUAUGGGCUUCUUGUCAAGCAGAAUAGUCUCAUAGAAAUCUUGUUGUUCCUUUGUAUGGAACCUAUAGUCAACUGCAGUCCUCCUCCUAACAGCAUAGGGAUCAGACUGUCGCCACAACCUCAGUCCUGCAUCUUUCCUGAUGUGCAUGUCCUCAGCGACUAGGUGAGCAUCAUUGUGGUCAGGAAUUUUGGGCUUCAACUUCCUCAAAACAAGAGAAUCAUCAUCAUCUUCUUCUUCUUCAGCUUCAAGCACUGGGGCCUUGUUCUUCUCCUCAGCAGGUAUACUCCCGGUGUUCCUCUUGGGUUUUGGGGGUUUCUAAGCAGCAGCCUUGGGAGCAGACUUGGGCUUAGAUGGAGCAGCCCUGACUUGAUUGCAUCUCCCAUAAGCUUCUGAGCCUUAGGAGCUGGUGCAGCAUCCUCUUCCUCCUCCUCUUCUUCUGAAUCUCUCAUAAUGAAGGAUCUACCAAGUACUCUGGUAGUGGUCUUCUUGACCUUUUUUUUCUUUUCUUUCCUUCUCUAACUGCCUCUUCAGUUGGCUUGGAGGUUUCAGCAGUUGAGGCUCUGGCCUUUGACAUGGGAAUCCUCUUUGUUGGAGCCUUCUUGUGCAUCCCUGGCUUUGUUGUAGCAGCUGAGCCAUACUCUUUCUUGAGCACCCUUUUCUUGGAGCUGACUUCUUCCUUAACAGCCACAUAAUCCUCAUCCUCAGAAUUUGAGGUCUUCUUCUUCCUUGUUCUGGUGGCUGCCCUGGGCAAGUUGCUUGGUGUGCUCCUGCUGCCCUCAUCAGAAGUGCUAGAGGGACUAGUGCCCUCACUCAUAUGAACCUGCUCCUCAGACUUGUUUUGGCUGUCACUUUGAUCAGACAUCUUGCAGGCAAACUGUUAGCAAACCCUGUGAAUAGGUUGUAGAUGAGGUAGAGUAGAUGAGCAUCACAAAGUGCAGAUUUUUUGCAAAACAGAUGACUUAAAAACUUAGUUUUAGUUCUUCACAGAAAGCAUUUCGGAUCUACCGAUUUGCAAACUUGGUGAUACCAAAGCAGCUUUUGGAACCUAAACUAGUGAACUCGGUCAGACCGAGUCACAGUUCGGUGGCACCGAGACUGCUAGGGUUUCAGAGAGAAUCAAACUCGGUCACACCGAUUUGCAAUUUUUGGUCAGACCAAAAACGCAUGUGCAAUGGCCUAAGCCAACUCGAUGAGACCGAUUUCUACAACUCGGUCGGUCCGAGAUGAGUUUGGCGGAGACCUAACCCUAAAUUUUCAAAUCAAAUCAAAUCUACGGGAUGCUUUCCCUAGAUAGGAUAAUUUCAUACGUGGCAAGAAUCAUGGCAAAGCAAUGUGCUAUGAAUCGGAGUUAAGGAAUAGCACAAAGAUCAAGUUCAUACCCUACUUCGGCGGUGAACUUUCUACAGCGGCAACGGCGUGGCAGAUUGCCAUUGACGGCGACGGAGACCAGCGGCGAGAGGUCGCUGGCAGCAAGAGGACGAUCCGGAGACCCGAGGAGGCAGAGCAGGUCACACGCGGGUGAAAGGUUUUGGAAAUUUUUCCAAAAUUUAACCCGUCAGUAUAUAUAACCUGACCCUGUCGGUGUGACCGAGUGGAACAACUCGGUGGCAUCGAGAUGCAGAACUGCAAGCGGUUACUGCAACUCGGUGUGACCGAAAAGUUCUAGUCGGUUGCACCGAGAUUGAAAACCUAGAUCAACUUAGUGAUCUCGGUGUGACCGAAAUGGAUGACUCGGUCAUACCAAAAUGCACAAAGAGGUUUUGGAAGUUUAAGUCUAUGACAAAUCGGGGACUCCGAGUGCUCCUCACACAGAGUGGUUCGAAUCUGACUUGAUCAAACUUUGUGAUGUAGCAUGAGUAGAGUUUGAGACGAGGAAAGCAUAGAUAGCUAGAGGGAUUUAUUAGGCAUUCUUGUCCAUCCAUUUGGCAAAAGAGAAAAAGCCAAACAAUCAAAGCAACAAAUGAAUGUCCUUGAAUGAGUAAAAUAUGCAACCAACAUGCUCACACAAUAAGAUGGCAAAAGAAAUAUGUGACCAAGCAUGCACAAACACUCUAGCAUCUAUCAAGCAAUUUAGCGAUGACUAGGUCAUCUAUAUAUGAGUAUAUUGACUUAAGAGUCAAAUGAGAACAUUUGAUCGUAGGUCAUACUCAUCGUUUAAGCACAAGUGGGGUUGCCACUUUUACAUAAAGCAUUGUUGUGUUCACACCAUUAGAGUUGCUUUAGCUCAAUUAAUUAGAGUAAAGCUCCCCCUAGAUGUGAUAUCCCCCCUAAGAGGGAUGAACUAACCUUGGAUUUUGUCGAUGAUGACUUCAUGUAGGUGUUGAAGAUGUAGAUGCUCAAUGUUGAUGUAGAUCAAUCGGAGCAAUCCAUUGGAGUGAGUUGCACUUUCAAUACCUACACGGGUUAGUCCCACAAGGAAUAAACAAGGAUAUCCAUAUCCAUAGAGUGAUAUUCACAUGAGAUAAUGUCCAUGAAUGCAUUAGGUUACCUUGUCCCUUGUCUUACAAACAAGAGGGUUUGUGACUCCUUGAACUAGUGCAAGAUAUGGAAGUUGUUUGCACUUGUCCUCGCCAAAAUGAUAUGAGUGAAGUGUGUUGGCGGAGUCACCCUCAAGAACUCUCUAGUUCUUCUUCUUCGGGAUCCACACCAUCUUGAUGGGGAUCCUUGGAGUUCUAGUUGUACUUGAUGAAGUAGAACUUGAUGUAGUCUUGGGAACCCACUUGACCAAGGCUUUGGGAGCUUCUUCAAAUUCAUCAAUCUCCUCUUGAAGCUUGUCCUUGCCUUUUUUGCUUGUGGUGGAAGAUCAUCUUGAACUUGUGUUCCUUGGAAAGAAGUAGGAUUAGACUUCUCUUGUUAAGGAACAAACUUCGUCUUGGGGUAUUAAUAUUCUUCCCACUCAACUCCAUUGGCAUUGAAAUUUCUUUCAAAACCAACACCUUGAUUCUUCCGGUGUCUUCCUUGCUUGCGUACAAUUUCCUCAAAUUGCUUACUUCCGGCAAGGCUCUUGUAAACACCUUUCUCUAUAAUUCCCUUCAAUAAGAUAUUUUCUUGAUCAAGUGUAACUUGACUAAGAGAAUCAUUAGUGGAAUCAAGAGAACUACUAGAAGCAACAUCAUUGGGUUUAGCAUGAUUAUUGUUACUACUAGAAGAAGAAUCUUUCUUGUUCUUGUUGCUAGAUUUAACUUGUGACAUGUAAGUAGACAAGAGUAAAUGCUUGGCAAUGUAAGAAGAACUCUUCUUGCGAAGAUCAUCAUUGAUUGCCUUUAAGAACUCAUGCUCUUGCUCAAGGUUGAGCUUUUCAAAGCGUAACUUCUCAUGAGUCUUUAAAAGCUCUUGAUGAUUUUCCAAGGUAGUUUCAUGAGCUAACUUAAGAGUGUUUAGCUCUUUAGUUAGACGCCCAAUAUCCUUCUUAUCAUCGUAAUUUGUUUUGUCUUGAUUAGCAUGAUUAAUAGCAAGUUCAUCAUAGUUUUCAUCACUAGAAUUGUCAACAAGUAAAUCAUCAUCACCUAGCAAGUCAUCUUCAUCACUAUUGAAAUCAACAUACUCGGGGUGUGAUACCUUUGGGCCUUUAGACAUGAAGCAUCUUCCAAUUCCUUCAUUUGGUGACUCAAAUAUGUCGUAGGAGUUGGUUGACACAAGUGCUAGACCGGCAACACCUUCAUCUUGAGUAUAUUUGGAGUCGGAGUGAUAGCUUCUCUCGGAGUGAUCGUCGGAGCCGGAUACCCAUUCACCAACGUGAGCUUGAUGUCUUUGUUUUGUGUAGCCCCUUGAUGAUCUAUCCUUCCUUUCCGAAUCCUUGCUUCUCCGUGAUGUUCUUCGUUCAUAACGGUCAUCUCUACUCCUUCUCUUUCUUGGUGGUGAUUCUUCUCUUCUUUUGUAGGGACUCGUACACUCAUUGGAGUAGUGUCAGGGUCUUCCACGAUUGUAGCAAUUUCGUUCACGACUUGAGGAUCUUUUGUCAUUGUAGGACCUUGACUUGGAACUUCUUUCCUUGCUUCUACUCUUGUAGAACUUGUUGAAGUUCUUCACAAUUAGGCUCAAUUCUUCAUUGAAGUUUUGUUUCUCACUUGAUGAUGUUGGAGCAUCAUAUGAGGCUUUGUAAGCACCACUUGACUUGUUGUGAAGCUCUUCCUUAUCCUUGAGUGACAUCUCAUAAGCAACAAUCCUUCCAAUGACUUCCGUUGGCUUGAGAUCUUUGUAAUUGGGCAUCAUUUGGAUCAAUGUGCACACGGUAUCAUAUUUUCCAUCCAAGGCUCUUAGGAUCUUCUUGAUGAUGAAUCUAUCGGUCAUCUCUUCACUUCCUAAGCCGACAAUCUCAUUUGUGAUGAGAGCAAGCCUAGAGUACAUUUCGGCGACGCCUUCACCACCCUUCAUUUUGAACUUGUAAAGUUGACUUUCAAGCACAUCCAAUUUGGAUUCCUUGACGGAGUCGGUACCUUCGUGCAUAUCAAUCAAAGUAUCCCAAAUUUCCUUUGCAUUCUCAAGACGGCUGAUUUUGUUGAAUUCUUUGGGGCAUAAUCCGUUGAAGAGAAUAUCACAAGCUUGAGAAUUGUAUUGCAGCAUCUUCAACUCUUCCGCGCUAGCCUCACGGUUCGGUUCCCUCCCAUCAAAGAAUUCACCUUGCAAGCCAAUACACACAAUAGCCCAAAUGGUGGGGUUAUGUCCAAGAAUAUGCAUUUUCAUCUUAUGCUUCCAACUAGCAAAAUUAGUACCAUCAAAGUAAGGACCUCUACGGUGGUAAUUUCCCUCACUAGACGCCAUACUCUCCUAGGUUGUGAAACCAAGGCUAUGAUCACCAAAGCUAUGGAAAUCAAGGCAAAUUGAGACCAAAGCUCUGAUACCACUUGUAGGAUCGAAAAUAUGUUUAGAGGGGGGGGGGGUGAUUAGACUACUUGACCAAAUAAAAAUCUAGCCUUUUCCCAAUUUUAAUUCUUGGCAGAUUUUAGCAACUUAGCACAAGUCAAGCAAACAACCUACACAUGCAAUUCUAAUAGUAUAGCAGCGGAAUGUAAAACAAUUGCAUAUGAAGGUAAAGGGAGGAGUUUGGAGGGAGCAAACGCAAUGUAGACACAAAGAUUUUUGGCGUGGUCCCGAUAGGUGGUGUUAUCGUACAUCCAUGUUGAUGGAGACUUCACCCCACGAAGGGUAACGAUUACGUGAGUCCACGAAGGGCUCCACCCACGAAGGGUCCAUGAAGAAGCAACCUUGUCUAUCCCACCAUGGCCAUCGCCCACGAAGGACUUGCCUCACUAGGGUAGAUCUUCAUGAAUUAGGCGAUCUCCUUGCCCGUACAAACUCCUUGGUUCAACUCCACAAUCUUGACGGAAGCUCCCAAGUGACACCUAACCAAUCUAGGAGACACAACUCUCCAAGAGGUAACAAAUGGUGUGUUGAUGAUGAACUCCUUGCUCUUGUGCUUCAAAUGAUAGUCUCCCCAACACUCAACUCUCUCUCAUAGGAUAGGAUUUGGUGGAAAGAUGAUUUGAGUAGAAAGCAACUUGGGGAAGGCUAGAGAUCAAGAUUUAUGUGGUUGGAAUGGAAUAUCUUGACCUCAACACAAGUGUAGGUGGUUCUCUCUCAGAAAAUGUAUGUUGGAAGUAUAGGCAUGUUCUGAUGGCUCUCUCCACGAAUGAAGAGUGGGUGGAGGGGUAUAUAUAGCCUCCACACAAAAUCUAACCGUUACACACAAAUCACCAAACUCGGUGGGACCGAAUCAUACAACUCAGUCAGACCGAUUUAGUUCAUAAUGUGACCGUUAGGGUUUUUGGUGGGACCGACAUGUCAACUCGGUGGGAGCGAUAUCAUUAGGGUUAGGGCAUAACGUAAUCUCGGUGAGACCGAUUACACAAACUCGGUGAGACCGAUUUUGGUAAUAGGCUAACCAGAGAGUUGGUCAGGCAAUCUCGGUGGGACCGAUUUGCUCUUUCGGUAGGACCGAAACGUUAUGAAAGGGAAACAGAGAGUUUGCAUUGCAAUCUCGGUGGGACCGAUCGCUCAUCUUGGUUGGACCGAAACGUUACAAAAGGAAACAAAGAGAUUACAAUCCCAUCUCGGUGAGACUGAGAUCACUAUCGGUAGGACCGAAAAGACUAGGGUUUGUGGCAGUGGCUAUGUCAAGUGAACUCGGUGGCGCCGGAUAGAUCAAAUCGGUGGGGCCGAGUUUGACUUUUGGUUUGGGAUAUAUUUGGAUAUGAGAAAGUAGUUGAGGGGUUUUGGAGCAUAUCACUAAGCAUUUUGAGCAAGAACCUCAUUAAGAAACACCUCACCCCCUCUUAAUAGUAUUGGCUUUUCCUAUGGACUCAAUGUGAUCUUGGAUCACUAAAAAUGAAAUGUAGAGUCUUGUGCUUUGAGCUUGAGCCAAUCCUUUUGUCCUUAGCAUUUUGAGGGGUCCACUUUCCAAUCCAUGCCAUGCCAAGCAUUGAGCUUUUGCUGAAAUAUUUAUCUUCAAGUAGCAUUAGCUCAGUGAGCUAUAUGUUGUUAGGAAUUACCAAAACCACCCAGGGAUAGUUGCACUUUCAAAAGGAGUUGUGGGCGUGGGUAUAUACAUAUUGCUUGCCGUCACUAGUUGUUUCUUGAUUCGGAAGUAUUGUUGGAUGAAGCGGCCUGGACCGACAUUACAUGAUCGCAUUGAUGAGACUGGUUCUACCGACGUGCUUUGCACACAGGUGGCUGGAGGGUGUCAGUUUCUCCAACUUUAGUUGAAUCGGAUUCAAUGAACAUGGUUCUUUCUGAAGAUCAAAAAGCGAUCACUAUACCGCGUUGUGGUUUUUGAUGCGUAGGUAAGAACGGUUCUUGCUAAGCCCGUAGCAGCCACAUAAAACUUGCAACAACAAAGUAGAGGACGUCUAACUUGUUUUUGCAGGGCAUGUUGUGAUGUGAUCUAGUCAAGGCAUGAUUGUAUAAAUUGUUGUAUGAGAUGAUCAUGUUUUGUAACAUAGUUAUCGGCAACUGGCAGGAGCCAUAUGGGUGUCGCUUUAUUGUAUGAAUUGCAAUCGCCAUGUAAUUGCUUUACUUUAUCACUAAGCGAAAGCGAUAGUCGUGGAAGCAAUAGUUGGCGAGACGACAGCGAUGCUACGAUGGAGAUCAAGGUGUCAAGCCGGUGACGAUGGUGAUCAUAUCGGUGCUUUGGAGAUCGAGAUCAAAGGCACAAGAUGAUGAUGGCCAUAUCACAUCACUCAUAUUGAUUGCAUGUGAUGUUUAUCCUUUAUGCAUCUUAUUUUGCUUAGUACGGCGGUAGCAUUAUAAGAUGAUCUCUCACUAAAUUUCAAGGUAUAAGUGUUCUCCCUGAGUAUGCACCAUUGCUACAGUUCGUCGUGUCGAGACACCACGUGAUGAUCGGGUGUGAUAAGCCCUACGUUCACAUACAAUGGAUGCAAGCCAGUUUUGUACAAGCAGAAUACUCGUGUUAAACUUGACAAGCCUAGCAUAUGCAGAUAUGGCCUCGGAACACUGAGACCGAAAGGUCAAGCGUGAAUCAUAUAGUAGAUAUGAUCAACAUAGUGAUGCUCACCAUUGAAAACUACUCCAUCUUACGUGAUGAUCGGACAUGGUUUAGUUGAUAUGGAUCACGUGAUCACUUAGAUGAUUAGAGGGAUGUCUAUCUAAGUGGGAGUUCUUAAGUAAUAUGAUUAAUUGAACUUUAAUUUAUCAUGAACUUAGUACCUGAUAGUAUUUUGCAUGUCUAUGUUGUUGUAGAUAAAUGGCCAGUGCUAUUGUUCCGUUGACUUUUAAUGCGUUCAUAGAGAAAGCUAAGUUGAAAUAUGAUGGUAGCAACUACACGGACCAGUUCCGUAACUUGAGGAUUAUCCUCAUUGCUGCACAAAAGAAUUACGUCCUAGAAGCACUGCUAGGUGCCAAAGCCGCUGCAGGAGCAACUCCAGAUGUUAUGAACACCUAGCAGAGCAAAGAUGAUGACUACUCGAUAGUUCAGUGUGCCAUGCUUUACGACUUAGAACCGGGACUUCAACGACGUUUCGAAUGUCAUGGAGCAUAUGAGAUGUUCCAGGAGUUGAAGUUAAUAUUUCAAGCAAAUGCCCGGAUUGAGAGAUAUGAAGUCUCCAAUAAGUUCUACAGCUGCAAAAUGGAGGAGAAUAGUUCUGUCAGUGAACACAUACUCAGAAUGUCUGGGUACCACAAUCACUCGACUCAACUGGGAAUUAAUCUUUCGGUUGAUAGUGUCAUUAACAGAGUUCUUCAAUCACUGCCACCAAUCUACAAAAGCUUUGUGAUGAAUUAUAAUAUGCAAGGGAUGGACAAGAAAAGUCCUGAGCUCUUCGCAAUGCUAAAGGCUGCGGAGGUAGAAAUCAAGAAGGAGCAUCAAGUGUUGAUGGUCAACAAGACCACCGGUUUCAAGAAGAAGGGCAAAGGGAAGAAAGGGAACUUCAAGAAGAACGGCAAGCAAGUUGCUGCUCAAGUAAAGAAGCCCAAGUCUGGACCUAAGCCUAAGACUAAGUCCUUCUACUGCAAAGGGACUGGUCACUGGAAGCAGAACUGUCCCAAGUAUUUGGCGGAUAAGAAGGAUGGCAAAGUGAAAGGUAUAUUUGAUAUACAUGUUAUUGAUGUGUACCUUGCUAAUGCUCGCAGUAGCGCCUGGUAUUUGAUACUGGUUCUGUUGCUAAUAUUUGCAACUCGAAACAUGGGCUAUGGAUUAAGCGAAUAUUGGCUAAGGACGAGGUGACGAUGCGCGUGGGAAAUGGUUCCAAAGUCGAUGUGAUUGCCGUCGGCAUGCUACCUCUAAAUCUACCUUCGGGAUUAGUUUUAGACCUAAAUAAUUGUUAUUUGGUGCCAGCGUUAAGCAUGAACAUUAUAUCUGGAUCUUGUUUGAUGCGAGAUGGUUAUUCAUUUAAAUCAGAGAAUAAUGGUUGUUCUAUUUAUAUGAGUAAUAUCUUUUAUGGUCAUGCACCCUUGAUGAGUGGUCUAUUUUUGUUGAAUCUCGAUAGUAGUGAUACACAUAUUCAUAGUAUUGAAGCCAAAAGAUACAAAUUUAAUAAUGAUAGUGCAACUUAUUUGUGGCACUGCCGUUUAGGUCAUAUUGGUGUAAAGGGCAUGAAGAAACUCCAUGCUGAUGGACUUUUGGAAUCACUUGAUUAUGAAUCACUUGAUGCUUGCGAACCAUGCCUCAUGGGAAAGAUGACUAAGACUCCGUUCUCUGGAACAAUGAGUGAGCAAUAGACUUGUGGGAAAUAAUACAUACUGAUGUAUGCAGUCUGAUGAGUGUUGAGGCUCGCGGCGGUUAUCGUUAUUUUUUGACCUUCACAGAUGAUUUGAGUAGAUACGGGUAUAUCUACUUGAUGAAACAUAAGUCUGAAACAUUUGAAAAGUUCAAAGAAUUUUAGAGUGAAGUGGAAAAUCAUCAUAACAAGAAAAUAAAAUUUCUACGAUCUGAUCGUGGAGGUGAAUAUUUGAGUUAUGAGUUUGGUCUUCAUUUGAAACAAUGCAGAAUAGUUUCGCAACUCAUGCCACCUGGAACACCACAAGGAAUCCAGAUUUCACAAGAGAACCAAGCAUAUCAAGAGAUGCUUCAGUUCCAUCUGCGAUCAAGUCAAGGAGGGAGACAUAGAGAUCUGCAAGAUACAUACGGUUCUGAAUGUUGCAGACCCGUUGACUAAGCCUCUCUCACGAGCAAAACAUGAUCAGCACCAACACUCCAUGGGUGUUAGAAUCAUUACUAUGUAAUCUAGAUUAUUGACUCUAGUGCAAGUGAGAGACUGAAGGAAAUAUGCCCUAGAGGCAAUAAUGAAGUUGUUAUUUAUAUUUCCUUAUAUCAUGAUAAAUGUUUAUUAUUCAUGCUAGAGUUGUAUUAACCGGAAACUUAGUACAUGUGUGAAUACAUAGACAAACAGAGUGUCCCAAGUAUGCCCCUACUAGACUAGCUCGUUAAUCAAAGAUGGUUAAGUUUUCUAGCCAUAGACAUGUGUUGUCAUUUGAUGAACGAGAUCACAUCAUUAGAGAAUGAUGUGAUGGACUGAUAUGUCCAUUUUGCAUCAUGCUUUUAUAUCGAUAUUUAUUGCAUUAUGGGCUGUUAUUACACAUUAUGUCAGGAUACUUAUGCCUAUUCUCUCUUAUUUUACAAGGUUUACAUGAAGAGGGGGAAUGCCGGCAGCUGGAAUUCUAGGCUGGAAAAGGAGCAAAUAUUAGAUACCUAUUCUGCACAUCUCCAAAAGUCCUGAAACUCCACGGGAAUUAUUUUCAGAAUAUAUAAAAAAUAUUGGGCGAAAGAAGUACCAGAGGGGGGACACCCACCGUCCAUGAGGGUGGGGGGGGGCGCCCUACCCCCUGGGUGCGCCCCCUUGCCUCGUGGACCCCCAGGUGGCCCUCCGAUGCCCAUCUUUGGCUAUAUGGAGUCUUUCACCAAGGAAAAAGUCAUAAGCAAGCUCACGGGAUGAAACUCUGCCGCCAUGAGGCGGAACCUUGGCGGAAUCAAUCUAGGGCUCCAGCGGAGUUGUUCUGCCAGGGAAACUUCCCUCCGGGAGGAGGAAAUCAUCACCAUCGUCAUCACCAACGAUCCUCUCAUCGGGAGGGGGUCAAUCUCCAUCAACAUCUUCACCAGCACCAUCUCAUCUCAAACCCUAGUUCAUCUCUUGUAUCCAAUCUUUGUAUCCAAACCUCAGAUUGGUACCUGUGGGUUGCUAGUAGUGUUGAUUACUCCUUGUAGUUGAUGCUAGUUGGUUUACUUGGUGGAAGAUCAUAUGUUCAGAUCCAUUAUGCAUAUUAAUACCCCUAUGAUUAUGAACAUGAAUAUCAUUUGUUAGUAGUUAUGUUUGUUCCUGAGGACAUGGGAGAAUAUUGCUAUAAGUAGUCAUGUGAAUUUGGUAUUCGUUCGAUAUUUUGAUGAGAUGUAUGUUGUCAUCCCUCUAGUGGUGUCAUGUGAACGUCGACUACAUGACACUUCACCAUUGUUUGGGCCUAGAGGGAAGCAUUGGGGAGUAAUAAGUAGAUGAUGGGUUGCUAGAGUGACAGAAGCUUAAACCCUAGUUUAUGCGUUACUUCGUAAGGGGCUGAUUUGGAUCGAUAUGUUUCAUGCUAUGGUUAGGUUUACCUUAAUACUUUUGUUGUAGUUGCGGGUGCUUGCAAUAGGGGUUAAUCAUAAGUGGGAUGCUUGUCCAAGUAAGGACAAUACCCAAGCACCGGUCCACCCACAUAUCAAAUUAUCAAAGUACCGAACGCGAAUCAUAUGAACGUGAUGAAAACUAGCUUAACGAUAAUUCCCAUGUGUCCUCAAGAGCGCUUUCCUUCAUAUAAGAGUUUGUCCAGGCUUGUCCUUUGCUACAAAAAGGAUUGAGCCAUCUUGCUGCACCUUAUUCACUUUAUUUACUUGCUACCCGUUACAAAUUAUCUUAUCACAAAACUAUCUAUUACUGACAAUUUCAGUGCUUGCAGAGAAUACCUUACUGAAAACUGCUUAUCAUUUCCUUCUGCUCCUCGUUGGGUUCGACACUCUUACUUAUCGAAAAGGCUACGAUAGAUCCCUACACUUGUGGGUCAUCAAGACUCUUUUCUGGCGCCGUUGCCGGGAGUGAAGCGCCUUUGGUAGGUGGAAUUUGGUAAGGAAAAAUUUAUAUAGUGUGCUGAAAUUUACUGUUACUUGUUACUAUGGAACAUAAUCCUUUGAGGGGCUUGGUGGGGUAUCUUCACCCCGACCAGUGGAGAAAAGAGUUGCUCCUCAACCUACUGAACCUACUGAAAAUGUUUACUUUGAAAUUCCUUCGGGUAUGAUAGAGAAACCGCUAGCUAAUCCUUUCACAGGUGAUGGAACAUUACAUCCCGAUUUGCACCUAAUCUAUGUGGAUUAAGUUUGUGGAUUAUUUAAGCUUGCAGGUAUGCCUGAGGAUGUUAUCAAGAAGAAGGUCUUCCCUUUAUAUUUGAAGGGAGAUGCAUUUACAUGGUUGAGGCUAUGUGAUGAUAUUGGAUCAUGGAACUACCAACGAUUGAAAUUGGAAUUUCAUCAGAAGUUUUAUCCUAUGCAUCUUGUUCAUCAUGAUCGUAAUUAUAUAUAUAAUUGUUGGCCUCGCAAAGGAGAAAGCAUCGCUCAAGCUUGGGGGAGGCUUAAGUCAAUGUUAUAUUCAUGCCCCAAUCAUGAGCUCUCAAAAGAAAUGCUUAUUCAAAAUUUUUAUGCUCGGCUUUCUCUCAGUAAUCGCUCCAUGCUCGAUACUUCUUGUACUAGAUCUUUUAUGAUGAAGACUAUUGAAUUCAAAUGGGAUUUAUUGGAAAGAAUUAAACGCAACUUUGAAGAUUGGGACCUCAACGAAGGUAAGGAGUCAGGUAUAACACCUAAGUUUGAUUGUGUUAAAUCUUUUAUGGAUACCGAUGCUUUCCGUGAAUUUAGCACUAAAUAUGGACUUGACUCUGAGAUAGUAGCUUAUUUCUGUGAAUCCUUUGCUACUCAUGUUGAUCUCCCUAAGGAGAAGUGGUUUAAAUAUAAUCCUCCCAUUGAAGUAAAAGUAGUUGCACCUAUUCAAGUUAAAGAAAAGACUAUCACUUAUAAUGAUCCUAUUGUUCCUACUGCUUAUAUUGAGAAACCACCUUUCCCUGUUAGAAUAAAGGAUCAUGCUAAAGCUUUAACUGUGGUCAACCAGAGUAAUAUUAAGACACCCAAACCUCCUGAACAAAUUAAAGUUGAACCUAGUGUUGCUAUGGUUAAAGAUCUCUUGGUUGAUAAUAUUGAUGGCCAUGUUAUUUACUUCUGCAAUGAAUAUGCUAGAAUUGCUAGACACUACAAAAAAAGACACAUCCGUGACAUUUUGGGCCGAACGAAUUUUUUUCUAUCAUACAUAUGACACUUAUAUGAUGAUAAUUGUGACAAAACCCGGUAUCAUCAUAGAUGUGGUGGGCUCCUACUUCUAUGACAAAAAAAUCAUGACAAAAAUGGGCUUUUCAUCCUGGGCGGGCUGGAGACGCAGCUGCAUGACAUUCUUUGGGCUGUCCAUGACGGAAAAAACCGUGGUAGAAGCGAGGGCGAGGAAAAUUUCAGGGAGUUCCCGAUUACUGUGGGAGGUCGGGGGCCGAGCGAUGCGCAUUUCUCUCGUACAUGUACGCGUGUGUGUGCGAGGCAUUGGCUCUAAAUGAACCCGAGCGAGGCGUUGGGCUAUCACUGAACCCGAGCGAUUGCACUGCAGGCUACGCGUUACUGAACCCAAGAAAUCGAUCGAUGGCUGUUAACUGAACCCGAUCGAGCAAUUCCUUCGCUACUGCUGCUAACUGAAGUCGAUCGAUGCUGCAUCUGGGAUGAACAGUGAGCAUUGCGGGAGGUUUUGGAUGAACAGUGAGCGGUGGCGUUGCCUCUGGAUGAACAGGACCCCAUGGUGUGGUGGAGGUCUGGAUGAACAGUAGACGAUGGAGGGGUGCCCGUGGAGGGGUGGUUGAACAGGACCCCGUGGUGUGGAGGGCUGGAUGAACAGUAGACGGUGGAGGGGUGCCUGUGGAGGGGUGGUUGAAUAGGACCCCAUGGUGUGGAGGGCUGGAUGAACAUUAGAUGGUGGAGGGGUGAUUGAACAGUAGCCGGUGGAGUAGCAUGCGGUGAAGGCUGGAUGAACAGGAGCCCGUGGAGGCUGGAGGAGGUCGACGGUAGCCCGUGAAGGCUGGAGGAGGUCGACGGUGGAGAUGAACAGUAUCUCGUGGAGUCCCGUUUUGCGGUGCGCCACACCCGUCCCGAUGAACAGGACUCCCAUUUCGACUGUAGCGCUCCAACACAAGUCUGUUUCAUCCGUUUUGCGGUACGCCACACCCCUCCCGAUCAACAGGACCCCCGUUUCGACCGUAGGAGGUCCGUUUCAUCCGUUUUGCGGUACGCCACACCCCUCCCGAUCAACAGGACCCCCGUUUCGAUCGUAGGAGGUCCGUUUCCUCUGUUCUGCGGUACGCCAGGCCUCGUUUUCAUUGGCUGUUCCGUCCAAGCCCUCCCGAUGAACACGACCACGCAUUCCGUUCCAACCCAGCCGGUUGGCUCCCACGCAUUUCGUUGCCUCCCGAUGAACACGACGCGUUCUGUUGCCUCCCCAUGAACACGGCGCAAUCCUUUGCCUCCCCAUGAACACGACGCAUUCUGUUGCCUCCCCAUGAACACGACGACAACGCUGUUUCUCCAUUCCGACCCAGCCAUGUACACGAGCCCUGGCCGUACGUAUGCGCGAGUAGGCGUUCGAGACCCCGCCCGUAUGUACACAUACGUGGCCGUAUUUUCUUUCUUGCACCCUGGCCGCUGUACGCACGUGUACAUGCUACGUGUGCGCCUCUACUACGACACGUGCGCGCCUCUACUAUGACACGUGCGCGCCUCUAUAUCGACCAGUAUGUACGUACACGUUCGCGACCAAAAUGACAAUGCUACGUAUGCUUCGACCAGGUGGGUCCCGACUGUCAGGCACUUCCUUGCGUGCGAAGAUGUAGCUGGUGGGUCCCAGCAGUUAGGGGGGCGAAUCGUUUUGUUUUUGUUUUUGCCCGGACGCACUUCCUUGCGUGCGAAGGUGUAGCUGGUGGGUCCCAGCAGUCAGGGGGAAAUGUUUUUUUCGCAAAAUACGGUGGCCCGUCCGGUGGGUCCCCGCUGUCAGGUGGAGGAAUACUUAUUUUGCACGUAAUAAGAAGGCACUUCCUUGCUGCGGCCGUGGACCCAGAUGUCAGCCUCUCCACGUACAGUCCACGUCCGAUGGAAGCCGUUACUUGACCAUGUUGACCAUGCCACGCCGAGAGCACCAGGGCGGUGGACGACGGUGAGGCCUAGGAAGGGGACGAUGCGGAGCCGGGGAAGACGCGGCAGUGGAUGCCCACACGUAGAGGAGUAUGAGGGUUCACUGGUUCGCUGCGGUGUGAGGCUGUCGUCGCCGUAGAAUAACAGGGGGGUGUGGGUGAGUAGAGGGAUGGCCUGGCCAGCGGUGGGAGUAGUAGGGGGCGGUGAGGCCUCCGCCGCAUCGCAGCCGGCCACGGGAGGCAGGAGCACGAGGCACGACCGGCGCUGGUUUGGGCGGCUGGAGCAAGAAGACCAGAGGUUGAAGAAGCACUACGGCCGUUGGAUGGACAUCGUACGGUCACUGGAGCUAAAAUCAUGCAUAUUGACUAAGUUGACAAAGCUCUUCGUCCCCGUCAACUUAGUAGGCCCACAAGUCAGUCUGCCACUAUACUGGGUCCCAACUAACAGGGGGAGUAUUCAUUUUUUUUGUGCGUAAUAAGGAGGCACUUCCUUGCGUGCGAAGAUAUAGCUGGUGGGUCCGAGCUGUUAGCGGCGGUAACAUUUUUUUCACGAAAUACAGAGGCCCUUUCGGUGGGUCCCUGAUAUCAGGUGGAGGGAUCAUUAUUUUGCGCGUAAUAAGGAGGCAUUUCCUUGCGUGCGGCCGUGGACCCAGCUGUCGGCCUCUCCACGUACAGUCCACUUCAGAUGCAUGUCGGUCAUUGACCACGUUGACUAGGCUGCGUCGAGAGCACAAGGGUGGUGGACGACGGUGAGGCCUAGGAAGGGAACGACACAGAGGUAGGGAAGACUCGGCAGUUGUUUCCCACGCGGAGGGGAGUACGACUGUACGAGGGUUUACUGGUUCGUCUGCCAUUGCCGGAGAAUAACAGUAGGUGUGGUUGAGUAGAGGGAUGGCUAGGCCAGCGAUGGGAGUACGGUGGGGCGGUGAGGCCUACGUGGCAGCAGAGCCGACCGCGGGGAGGAGGGAGCAGGCAGUCCCGCCAGCGCUUGUUUGAGCGGCUGGAGCAGGAAGAGCAGAGAUUGAAGAAGCACGACGGCCGUUGGAUCGAUAUCGUACGGUCACUGGAGCUAGAAUCGUUCAUAUUGACUAAGUUGACAAAGCCCUCCGUCCCCGUCAACUUAGUAGGCCCACAAGUCAGCCUCCCACCAUGGUGGGUCCCAGCUAGCAGGGGGGUAUUCAUUUUUCUAUGCAUAAUAAGGAGGCACUUCUGGUGGGUCCGAGCUGAUAGUGGGGGGAACUUUUGUUUCGCGAAAUACGGUGGUCCGUCCGGUGGGUCCCAGCAGUCAAGGGCAAACAUUUUUUUCGCGAAAUACGAUGGCCCGUCCGGUGGGUCCCAGCAGUAAGGGGGGAAACGUUUUUUCCACGAAAUACUGGUGGCCCGUCCGGUGGGUCCCUGCUGUCAGGUGGAGGAAUAAUUAUUUUGCGCGUAAUAAGGAGGCAGUUCCUUGCGGCUGCCGUGGACCCAGCUGCCAGCCUCUCCACGUACAAUACUCUUCCGAUGGAAGUUGGUCGUUGACCACAUUGACCAUGCCACGCCGAGAGAAGCACGGCAGUGGACGACGGCGAGGCCUAGGAAGGGGACGCCGUGGAGCUGGGGAAGACGCGGCAGUGGAUGCCCACGCAGAGAGGAGUACGAGGGUUCACUAGUUCGGCUGCGGUGUGAGGCUACCGUCGCCACAGAAUAACAGGGGGAGUGGGUGAGUGAAGGGAUGGCCUAGCCAGCGGUGGGAGUAGUAUGGGGACGGUGAGGCCUCCGCGAUAGCACAGCCGGCCAUGGGAGGCAGGAGCAUGCGGCACGACCGGCGCUGCUUUGGGCGGCUGGGGCAAGAAGACCAGAGGUUGAAGAAGCACUACGGCCGUUGGAUGGACAUCGUUGACCACGCCGUGCCGAGAGCACCAGGGCGGUGGACGACGGCGAGGCCUACGAAGGGAACGACACGGAGCCAGGGAAGACACGGCAGUGGCUACCCAUGCAGUGGAGAGUACGAGGGUUGACUGGUUCUGCUGCCGUCGCUGGAAAAUAACAGGAGGUGUGGGUGAGUAGAGGGAUAGACAGGCCAGGGAUGCGAGUAUGAUGAAGCCGUGAGGCCUGCCCGGCAGCACUGCCGGCCACGGGAGGCGGGAGCAGGUGGUUCCGACGGCGCUGGUUUGGGCGGCUGGGGCAGGAAGAUCAGAGACUAAAGAAGCACGAUUACCGUUAGAUUGACAUCUAACGGUCUGGCGCUGGUAGAGUCGAUUGUUGACUAAGUUUCUUUUUUGAGAAACCUUGUGUACGCAUGAACUUAGUAGGCCCACAAGUCAGCCUCCAAAUUUGUGGCAGACAACAUAAAGCCCAUUUGCUAUUUUUUAUAAUUUGUAGCCCAUUUGCUAAUUCUUAAGUAAUUUAUUACAACCCAUUUUCUGCCCAGGACCACGGUCAAAAAGUUCAAACUUAUUUUGCAUAUUUCGGUGGAGUCCGAACUGUUGUAAUCCCGAAAGGAUAAACAUUUUUUAAGAACUUAUUGAUUUGCCAAAAAAAUUGUUUUGUUUUUGUAAGCAAAUAAGACAUGGGACAAUUGAGUUGGUUUAAGGGAAAACCAGUGGUAAAAAAAUCAGCGCUGGGUGGGAAAAAACAACAAAAAUAAGGAUGUAAAUAGGAAAAGGGAAUUUUAUGUGUUUUCAAUAUAAUGAUACGUGUAUAUGAACUAGUAAAACUAUAGGUAGAGAUUAGAAAACGGAUGUAGGGCUUGCAUUUCAAGAGGAAAAUAGAACUGGGCUAUGUGUUUGAUUCAGUAAAAAAACUGCCCCGGAUGUUGUAAGACAAAAUAUAACUAACGAUGGCGGGCCAGAGGCCAGUAGAUACCUGCUGGAUCUUUGUGCCUCGUUGUCGUCAUGGGCUGGGCCUGUUAAAACAAGACCAACCCUGGGCAGUCUACAACCCAGUUGAAACUUGCUCGACCUGAAAAAACAA
rnacentral:lncRNA from 1 species